GAUCUUACCCUGGUUGACCUACGAGGUUCAGUAAUAACUUGAUCUGAAGUUUCAUGAUCAUCAUCAUUAACUUCCUCACUAAUUGGUGUAGGCGUCGCAGAAACCGGUUUCUAUGAUGAACUAGUUUCCAAUAAGGGAGCAGGUACAGUUACCUCAUCAAGUUUUACUUUUCUCCCACUCACUUCUUUCAAGAGAAACUCCUUCUCCAGAAAAAUUCCGAAUUUAGCAACAAAAGUUUUGCCUUCGGAUCUGUGAUAGAAGGUGUACCCAACAGUUUCCUUUGGGUAUCCUAUGAAGACACAUUUCUUCGAUUUGGGUUCGAGCUUAUCAGGUUGAAGUUUUUUCACAUAAGCAUCGCAGCCCCAAACUUUAAGAAACAACAACUUUGGUUUCUUGCCAAACCACAGUUCAUAAGGCGUCGUCUCAACGGAUUUUGAUGGUGCCCUAUUUAACGUGAAUGCAACCGUCUCUAAAGCAUAACCCCAAAACGAUAGCGGUAAAUCAGUAAGAGACAUCAUAGAUCGCACCAUAUCUAGUAAAGUACGAUUACGACGUUCGAACACACCAUUACGCUGUGGUGUUCCGGGUGGCGUGAGUUGCGAAACUAUUCCGCAUUGUUUCAAAUGAAGACCAAACUCAUAACUCAAAUAUUCUCCUCCACGAUCAGAUCGUAGAAAUUUUAUUUUCUUGUUACGAUGAUUUUCAACUUCACUCUGAAAUUCUUUGAACUUUUCAAAUGUUUCAGACUUAUGUUUCAUUAAGUAGAUAUACCCAUAUCUGCUCAAAUCAUCUGUGAAGGUGAGAAAAUAACGAUAUCCGCCACGAGCCUCAAUAUUCAUCGGACCACAUACAUCUGUAUGUAUGAUUUCCAACAAAUCUGUUGCUCUCUCCAUAGUUCCGGAGAACGGUGUUUUAGUCAUCUUGCCCAUGAGGCACGGUUCGCAAGUACCAAGUGAUUCAUAAUCAAGUGGUUCCAAAAGUCCAUCAGUAUGGAGUUUCUUCAUGCGCUUUACACCGAUAUGACCUAAACGGCAGUGCCACAAAUAAGUUGCACUAUCAUUAUCAACUCUGCAUCUUUUGGCUUCAAUAUUAUAAAUAUGUGUAUCACUACUAUCGAGAUUCAAAAAAAAUAGACCACUCUUCAAGGGUGCAUGACCAUAAAAGAUAUUACUCAUAUAAAUAGAACAACCAUUAUUCUCUGAUUUAAAUGAAUAACCGUCUCGCAUCAAACAAGAUCCAGAUAUAAUGUUCAUGCUUAACGCUGGCACCAAAUAACAAUUAUUUAGGUCUAAAACUAAUCCCGAAGGUAGAUGUAGAGGUAGCGUGCCGACCGCGAUCACAUCGACUUUGGAACCAUUUCCCACGCGCAUCGUCACCUCGUCCUUAGCCAAUCUUCGCUUAAUCCGUAGCCCCUGUUUCGAGUUGCAAAUAUUAGCAACAGAACCAGUACAAAUACUCAGGUGCUACUGCGAGCAUUAGUAAGGUACACAUCAAUAACAUGUAUAUCACAUAUACCUUUGUUCACCUGGCCAUCCUUCUUAUCCGCCAAAUACUUGGGGCAGUUCCGCUUCCAGUGACCAGUCUGCUUGCAGUAGAAGCACUCAGUCUCAGGCUUAGGUCCAGACUUGGGUUUCUUCUCCUGAACAACAACUUGCUUGCUGUUUUUCUUGAAGUUCCCCUUCUUCUUCCCUUUGCCCUUUUUCUUGAAACUAGUGGUCUUAUUGACCAUCAACACUUGAUGCUCCUUUUUGAUUUCUACCUCCGCAGCCUUUAGCAUUGCGAAGAGCUCGGGAAUCGUCUUAUCCAUCCCUUGCAUGUUAUAGUUCAUCACGAAGCUCUUGUAGCUUGGUGGCAGUGAUUGAAGAAUUCUGUCAAUGACGCUAUCAUCCGGAAGAUUAACUCCCAGUUGAAUCAAGUGAUUAUUAUACCCAGACAUUUUGAGUAUAUGCUCACUGACAGAACUAUUCUCUUCCAUCUUGCAGCUAUAGAACUUAUUGGAGACUUCAUAUCUCUCAAUUCGGGCAUUUGCUUGAAAUAUUAACUUCAACUCCUGGAACAUCUCAUAUGCUCCAUGACGUUCAAAACGUCGUUGAAGACCCGGUUCUAAGCCGUAAAGCAUGGCACACUGAACUAUCGACUAGUCAUCAGCUUUGCUCUGCCAGACGUUCAUAACAUCUGGUGUUGCUCCUGCAGCAGGCCUGGCACCCAGCGGUGCUUCCAGGACGUAAUUCUUCUGUGCAGCAAUGAGGAUAAUCCUCAAGUUACGGACCCAGUCCGUGUAAUUGCUACCAUCAUCUUUCAACUUUGCUUUCUCAAGGAACGCAUAAUUCAACGGAACAACAGCACGGGCCAUCUAUCUACAAUUAACAUAGACAAGCAAGAUACUAUCAGGUACUAAGUUCAUGAUAAAUUCAAGUUCAAUUAAUCAUAUUACUUAAGAACUCCCACUUAGAUAGACAUCCCUCUAAUCCUCUAAGUGAUCACGUGAUCCAUAUCAACUAAACCAUGUCCGAUCAUCACGUGAGAUGGAGUAGUUUCAACGGUGAACAUCACUAUGUUGAUCAUAUCUACUAUAUGAUUCACGCUCGACCUUUCAGUCUCCGUGUUCCGAGGCCAUAUCUGUUAUAUGCUAGGCUCGUCAAGUUUAACCUGAGUAUUCCGCGUGUGCAACUGUUUUGCACCCGUUGUAUUUGAACGUAGAGCCUAUCACACCCGAUCAUCACGUGGUGUCUCAGCACGAAGAACUUUCGCAACGGUGCAUACUCAGGGAGAACACUUAUACUUUGAUAAUUUAGUGAGGGAUCAUCUUAUAAUGCUACCGUCAAUCAAAGCAAGAUAAGAUGCAUAAAAAGAUAAACAUCACAUGCAAUCAAUAUAAGUGAUAUGAUAUGGCCAUCAUCAUCUUGUGCUUGUGAUCUCCAUCUCCGAAGCACCGUCAUGAUCACCAUCGUCACCGGCGCGACACCUUGAUCUCCAUCGUAGCAUCAUUGUCGUCUCGCCAAUCUUAUGCUUCUACGACUAUCGCUACCGCUUAGUGAUAAAGUAAAGCAUUACAGGGCGAUUGCAUUGCAUACAAUAAAGCGACAACCAUAUGGCUCCUGCCAGUUGCCGAUAACUCGGUUACAAAACAUGAUCAUCUCAUACAAUAAAUUUAGCAUCAUGCUUUGACCAUAUCACAUCACAACAUGCCCUGCAAAAACAAGUUAGACGUCCUCUACUUUGUUGUUGCAAGUUUUACGUGGCUGCUACGGGCUUAGCAAGAACCGUUCUUACCUACGCAUCAAAACCACAAUGAUAGUUAGUCAAGUUGAUGCUGUUUUAACCUUCGCAAGGACCGGGCGUAGCCACACUCGGUUCAACUAAAGUUGGAGAAACUGACACCCGCCAGCCACCUCUGUGCAAAGCACGUCGGAAGAACCAGUCUCGCGUAAGCGUACGCGUAAUGUCGGUCCGGGCCGCUUCAUCCAACAAUACCGCCGAACCAAAGUAUGACAUGCUGGUAAGCAGUAUGACUUAUAUUGCCCACAACUCACUUGUGUUCUACUCGUGCAUAUGACAUCUACGCAUAAAACCAUGCUUUGAUACCACUGUUGGGGAACGUAGUAAUUUCAAAAAAAAUUCCUACGCACACGCAAGAUCAUGGUGAUGCAUAGCAACGAGAGGGGAGAGUGUUUUCCAUGUACACUCGUAGACCGAAAGCGGAAGCGUUAACACAACGCGGUUGAUGUAGUCGUAUGUCUUCACGAUCCGACCGAUCAAGUACCGAACGCACGGCACCUCCGAGUUCAGCACACGUUCAGCUCGAUGACGUCCCUCGAACUCCGAUCCAGCCGAGUGUUGAGGGAGAGUUUCGUCAGCACGACGGCGUGGUGACGAUGAUGAUGUUCUACCGACGCAGGGCUUCGCCUAAGCACCGCUACGAUAUUAUCGAGGUGUAAUAUGGUGGAGGGGGGCACCGCACACGGCUAAGAGAUCAAUAGAUCAAUUGUUGUGUCUAUGGGGUGCCCCCUGCCCCCGUAUAUAAAGGAGCAAGGGGGGAGGCAGCCGGCCUAGGAGGAGGGCGCGCCAAGGGGGGAGUCCUACUCCCACCGGGAGUAGGACUCUUCCUUUCCUUGUUGGAGUAGGAGAAGGGAAGGGAGAAGGAGAAGGAAGGAAGGGGGCGCCCCCCUCCCUAGUCCAAUUCGGACUAGUCCAUGGGGAGGGGUGCGGCCACCCUUUGGGGCCUUUCUCUCCUUUCCCGUAUGGCCCAUUAAGGCCCAAUACGAAUUCCCGUAACUGUCCGGUACUACAAAAAAUACCCGAAUCACUCGGAACCUUUCCGAUGUCCGAUUAUAGUCGUCCAAUAUAUCGAUCUUUACGUCUCGACCAUUUCGAGACUCCUCGUCAUGUCCCCGAUCUCAUCCGGGACUCCGAACUCCUUCGAUACAUCAAAACUCAUAAACUCAUAAUAAAACUGUCAUCGUAACGUUAAGCGUGCGGACCCUACGGGUUCGAGAACUAUGUAGACAUGACCGAGACACGUCUCCGGUCAAUAACCAUUAGCGGGACCUGGAUGCCCAUAUUGGCUCCCACAUAUUCUACGAAGAUCUUUAUCGGUCAAACCGCAUAACAACAUACGUUGUUCCCUUUGUCAUCGGUAUGUUACUUGCCCGAGAUUCGAUCGUCGGUAUCUUAAUACCUAGUUCAAUCUCGUUACCGGCAAGUCUCUUUACUCGUUCCGUAAUACAUCAUCUCGCAACAAACUCAUUAGUUGCAAUGCUUGCAAGGCUUAAGUGAUGUGCAUUACCGAGAGGGCCCAGAGAUACCUCUCCGACAAUCGGAGUGACAAAUCCUAAUCUCAAAAUAUGCCAACCCAACAAGUACCUUCGGAGACACCUGUAGAGCACCUUUAUAAUCACCCAGUUACGUUGUGACGUUUGGUAGCACACAAAGUGUUCCUCCGGUAAACGGGAGUUGCAUAAUCUCAUAGUCAUAGGAACAUGUAUAAGUCAUGAAGAAAGCAAUAGCAACAUACUAAACGAUCGAGUGCUAAGCUAACGGAAUGGGUCAAGUCAAUCACAUCAUUCUCCUAAUGAUGAGAUCCCGUUAAUCAAAUGACAACUCAUGUCUAUGGCUAGGAAACAUAACCAUCUUUGAUCAACGAGCUAGUCAAGUAGAGGCAUACUAGUGACACUCUGUUUGUCUAUGUAUUCACACAUGUAUCAUGUUUCCGGUUAAUACAAUUCUAGCAUGAAUAAUAAACAUUUAUCAUGAUAUAAGGAAAUAAAUAAUAACUUUAUUAUUGCCUCUAGGGCAUAUUUCCUUCACUCAUGACUUUUUGUGUGUUCAAAAUGCACCAUUCAAAGCCACAUCAUCAAUUUUCAAUACUUUCUGACUUCAUUUGUUAUUUUUCAUGCAUUUACUAAUUAUUUUGAGCUAUAAGACCCUAAAAUUGAAAAGCAUUUCAAAUGAACUCUGAAAAGGUUGAAAGUUGGCAUGGUAUCAUCAUUUCAUCCACAUAGCAUGUGCAAGAAAGUUGAGAGGGUUACGGCAAAAACUGGAUGCACUUCGUGUGCAAAAUAGACAAUCUCUUUCAAAGUAUCACGAUUUCAUACGGAAAUUCGUCUGUUACAAAGGGAUUUCAUUUUUUAUCUUAUUUUAACUCNNNNNNNNNNNNNNNNNNNNNNNNNNNNNNNNNNNNNNNNNNNNNNNNNNNNNNNNNNNNNNNNNNNNNNNNNNNNNNNNNNNNNNNNNNNNNNNNNNNNNNNNNNNNNNNNNNNNNNNNNNNNNNNNNNNNNNNNNNNNNNNNNNNNNNNNNNNNNNNNNNNNNNNNNNNNNNNNNNNNNNNNNNNNNNNNNNNNNNNNNNNNNNNNNNNNNNNNNNNNNNNNNNNNNNNNNNNNNNNNNNNNNNNNNNNNNNNNNNNNNNNNNNNNNNNNNNNNNNNNNNNNNNNNNNNNNNNNNNNNNNNNNNNNNNNNNNNNNNNNNNNNNNNNNNNNNNNNAAAGCAUUUCAAAUGAACUCUGAAAAGGUUGAAAGUUGGCAUGGUAUCAUCAUUUCAUUCACAUAGCAUGUGCAAGAAAGUUGAGAGGGUUACGGCAAAAACUGGAUGCACUUCGUGUACAAAAUGGACAAUCUCUUUCAAAGUAUCAGGAUUUCAUACGGAAACUCGUAUGUUACAAAGGGAUUUCAUUUUUUAAAACUUAUUUGAACUCCUGACUUUUUGUGUGUUCAAAAUGCACCAUUCAAAGCCACAUCAUCAAUUUUCAAUACUUUCUGACUUCAUUUGUUAUUUUUCAUGCAUUUACUAAUUAUUUUGAGCUAUAAGACCCUAAAAUUGAAAAGCAUUUCAAAUGAACUCUGAAAAGGUUGAAAGUUGGCAUGGUAUCAUCAUCCCACAUAGCAUGUGUUAAAAAGUUGAGAGGGUCCCGACAAAAGGUGGAUGCACUUCGUGAACAAAAUGGACAAUCUCUUUCGAAGUAUCAGGGUUUCGGACGAAAACUCAUUUGUUACAAAGGGAUUUUAUUUUCUUGAACUUAUUUAAACUCCAGACUUUUUGUGCGUUCAAAAUGAACCAUUCAAAGCAGACACUGAUUUUGAAUGGUGCAUAUUCAACACACAAAAAGUCUGUAAAGAUCGCCAACCCCAACAUAAUAUAAUGAGCAUAGAUGCGCCUAUAGAGAGAAUUCAACCUAAAUUCAUAAUAAAUUUCUAUGAAUUUCAGAGAAAUUCACUCUGAAUUUAGGUCAAAUUCCCUGUAUAAGGGCAUAUAUUUUCAUUUUGAGAGGAGCUCAACAAGGCAGAGAGGGACGGGCUUAUAAACCGGUGUGAGCGCCCUUCGGUUGGCGUGGUGGGACUAAACUCUGACCGCAACGAGGACCAACCCUUUAGUCCCAGUUUGUGGCACAAACCGGGACUAAUGGUCAUGGGCCAGGGGCGAGGCGCAUUGGUCCCGGUUCGUGCGUGGAACCGGGACCAAAAGGUCCAGACGAACCGGGACCAAUGGCCCACGUGGCCCGGCCGGCCCCCUGGGCUGAUGAACCGGGACUAAUGUACCCCGUGGGUCCCGGUUCGUGCAGAACCGAGACUAAUGGGCUGGCUAGGCCCGAACGAAAGCCCUGUUUUCUACUAGUGCGAGGACGGGGCGCACUUGUUCUUACGCUGCAAACAAGUUAAGAAGGUAUGGCGAGCUAUGCAGCUUGAACCUGAAAGAAAGCGGAUGUGCGCAUGUAGAGAUGCAGGUGAAGUGAUGCAUGAAAUACUCCAUCUACCAGAGCAUAAAGAAGUACUGGUGACAUGCUUGCUAUGGCGGUGGUGGACUUGGCGGAACAAAAUUAAUGCGGGGGACAAGGCGGGAUCUGCGGACAACUUCCCAGCUGAGAUCAAUCAUUGGGACACUGAUUCCCUAGCACUGUGCCGACAGCCUCGUACUGAUAAGCAGCCACAGACAGUGCAGGAGUGGCAGAAGCCUGAGGAAGAUCAUCUGAAGAUCAAUUGUGACGGGGCGUUCUCGGGGCGGCAAGGUACAGGCGGGUGGGGCUUUGUUGUCCGGGACCAUGUGGGCGAUAUCCGAGGCUCUGGAGCAGGGUGCUUACGGCAAGUUGCAUCAGCACUACAAGCAGAAGCAGAAGCGUGCGCGGCGGCAUCUAACUGGGGCAUGAUGAACGUCCAGGUUGAGCUGGACUGCCAGGUUCUAGUCAAGGCUCUACAAGGAUCAGAGAUGGAUCUAGCUGCUGAAGACCUCCUGUUUAGAGAGAUUCGUCAAUUUGCCACACUAAAUUUCAGUCGUGUUGUCUUUUCUUUUGCCCCGAGGGCAUGUAAUAAGCUAGCUCAUGUUUUAGCUGCCCUUGGUGCUAGCCAUCAGGCAAGUGGAGAGACCUGGUAUGAGGAUCUCCCGGAUGAUGUAUCCGUCCGUUUGGCCAGCUCUAUGGCUGGACCUAUGUGAAGUAUGGAAUCGUUGUGUUCCAUUUCAAAAAAAAAUGAUGCUUGCAAUGUAAUUUACUAUAGAGUAAAUUAGUUGUGCAUGAUGGUUACAUGCAAGAUAUGUUUGACAUAUCGAAGAGAGAGUAAAGGGGUACGUAAAAGACUAGACUUCUAUCGAUCCCUUUUUCUGGUAGUCUGACGAGGUUAAGACAAAAUAUCGUCUGGCAAGAUGGGAUAUUAUCUGUCAACCAAAAGACCAGGGGGGGUCUUGGGAUCCACUAGUAGAAAAAGGGUCAAAUGUCAAGCACAUUAGUGCCGGUUUGCUUUUGAGCCGGCACUAAAUGUGUGCAUUAGUGCCGGUUCCAACGGCUAGCCAGCCGCUUUUAUUAGUACCGGUUCGUGGCCGACCUUUAGCACCGGUUCGUGCCAUGGACCGGUACUAAAGUGAGUGGUGGCAGGAUGUUGUCAGUCCGGGGCCCCUCCAGCACCUUUAGUACCGGCUCGUGGCACGAACCGGUGCUAAAGGUCGUCGUACAUAAACCCUUCGUCCACCCGAGCUCGCUCUGUUCUUCCCCUUUCCCCUCUCCUCUCUGUUCUUCCCCUCUUCCUCUCGAGCUCAUCACAUAUUUUGCCCAAAAUUUGUCAAGAUUUGAAGGCCCCCAUCCAUUCAAAUGAUCACAAAGGUUAGCAACUUUGUCCUUUCAUCUCUCAUUGCUAGAUUAGAUCUUGCAAUGCUUUGUAUAGUGAUUAAUUUAUGAGUUUAGUAAUUUGGUAGAAAAUAUAUGUGCUAGUAUUUGAUUUAUAUGCAAUUUGUGGUCAAAACUAACACUUAGUUUGCAUAUGUAGGUGUGGUUUACUUAGUGCCUUCUAAAUCUCCGUCGUAACCACAGUCGAUCGCCCGCACCGUUCCGUCGCCGGCACCACCUUGUGGUGAGCCUCUCGUUCAUGAAUGUUUUACAUUACCAAAUUGAUGUUUGUGUGAUUUGGAUAUAUAGUUACUUGUAUAAUUAUCUUACCUGUACAUUGUUUGUUAUACAUAGUGCCAUGGUUUUGAUAUCCGUCCCCAUCGGCCCUCGUCCUUGUUAUGAUUCGGAUGUGGUAUAUUCUCUUUUAAAACUAGUUGUUGCAUUUCGUGUUUAUGACAAAUUAUGCCCAUCAAGUUGACAUAGAUACUUUUGUCUAGGAGGUUUGUGAACCGGAAAUUCCAACCGACCCUAUUGUCGAGAGGUUAAAUUUAGUUGAAAGAGAAAACGAGUAUUUGAAAGAAAAAUUGAAAAGAAUUGAGGGGGAGAAGAUGGAAUUGGAGUUGCAUGUUGCCGAUGUCGUCGAUGAUCACAAGAUCAAGAUGGAGAAAAUGCGCUUGAAGAUUAGAAAGAUUAGAAAAGAUGCCAUUGAUGGUGAGGCUUGGUAUCAUUAUGCUGUUGGAUCAAUUGUUACCUUAGUUGCGAUCUUGAUCGCAUUUGUUGUUGCAUUUAAAUUCUUUAGUUAGAGAGUUAUUUGUUUGUUGCAAUUAAGUCUUGUAUGAACUUGUAUUAAUUUGGUCUAUUCGGUGUUGUGUAAUGAAGAUGAGCCGACAAUGGAUGUACGAUGACCGAUGCUCUCCCGAGUUCAUUAAUGGCGUGCAAACUUUUCUGCUUGCGGCUGAGGCAAACAAGCGGGCGGAUGGUUUUAUGCCUUGUCCAUGUUUAGUCUGUAAGAAUGAUCACAAUUACUCUACGUCAAGAACCAUUCACGUCCACCUGUUUAAGUCCGGUUUCAUGCCCCACUAUAAUGUUUGGACCAAGCAUGGAGAAAGAGGGGUUAUGAUGGAAGACAAUGAAGAAGAAGAGGACGACGACAACUAUCCUGGCCAUGGGUUCCCUGAAUACGAUGAUACAACAAUGGGGGAAGAAGCUGAGCCGGCAAUGCGGGAAGAAGCUGAAGAAGAGGCAUCAGAUGAGCCCGCUGAUGAUCUAGGUCGGGCCAUUGUCGAUGCAAAGAGAAACUGCGCAAGUGAUUUGGAGAAGAAGAAGUUGCAGCGCAUGUUAGAGGAUCACAAGAAAUUGUUGUACCCGAAUUGCGAAGCUGACAAGAAAAAGUUGGGCACCACACUGGAAUUGCUGCAAUGGAAGGCAGAGAAUGGUGUAUCUGACAAGGGAUUUGGAAAGUUGCUGGUAAUGAUAAAGAAUAUGCUUCCAAAGAACAACGAAUUGCCCGAGAGUACGUACGAAGCAAAGAAGGUUGUCUGCCCUCUAGGGUUAGAGGUGCAGAAGAUACAUGCAUGCCCUAAUGACUGCAUCCUCUACCGCGGUGAGUAUGAGGAUUUGAACGCUUGCCCGGUAUGCAGUGCAUUGCGCUAUAAGAUCAGGCGCGAUGACCCUGGUGAUGUCGAGGGCGAGCGCCCCAGGAAGAAGAUUCCUGCCAAGGUGAUGUGGUAUGCUCCUAUAAUACCACGGUUGAAACGUUUGUUCCAAAACAAAGAGCAUGCCAAGGCGAUGCGAUGGCACAGAGAAGACCGUAAGAAACACGGAAAGUUGAGAGUACCCGCUGACGGGUCGUAGUGGAGAAAAAUUGAGAGAAAGUACGGGAAGGAGUUUGCAGAUGACGUAAGGAACGUAUGGUUUGGUCUAAGCGCAGAUGGAAUUAAUCCUUUUGGGGAGCAGAGCAGCAACCAUAGCACCUGGCCUGUGACUCUAUGUUUGUAUAACCUUCCUCCUUGGUUGUGCAUGAAGCGGAAGUUCAUUAUGAUGCCAGUGCUCAUCCAAGGCCCUAAGCAACCCGGCAACGACAUUGAUGUGUACCUAAGGCCAUUAGUUGAAGAACUCUUACAGCUAUGGAAUGGAACAGGUGUACGUGCGUGGGAUGAGCACAUGGGGGAAGAAUUUGACCUAAAAGCCUUGCUGUUCGUGACCAUCAAUGAUUGGCCUGCUCUCAGUAACUUUUCAGGACAGACAAACAAGGGAUACCGCGCAUGCACGCACUAUUUGGAUGAUACCGACAGUAUAUAUUUGGACAAUUGUAGGAAGAAUGUGUACCUGGGACAUCGUCGAUUUCUUCCGAGCAGGCAUCCCGUAAGAAAGAAAGGCAAGCAUUUCAAAGGUGAGGCGGAUCACCGGACGAAGCCUCGCCACCGUACUGCUGCUGAUGUACAUGAUAUGGUCAAGGAUUUGAAGGUAUUCUUUGGAAAGGGUCCUGGCGGACAACCUGUUCCGAAUGACGCUGACGGACGCGCACCCAUGUGGAAGAAGAAAUCUAUAUUUUGGGACCUGCCCUAUUGGAAAGAUCUAGAGGUCCGCUCUGCAAUCGACGUGAUGCACGUGACGAAGAAUCUUUGCGUGACCCUGCUUGGCUUCUUGGGCGUGUAUGGGAAGACAAAAGAUACACCUGAGGCACGGGAGGACCAGCAACGUAUGCAUGGAAAAGACGGCAUACAUCAGGGUCAUGCCAGCUACGCUCUUACCAAAGAAGAGAAGGAAAUCUUCUUUGAAUGCCUGCUCAGUAUUAAGGUACCGUCUGGCUUCUCGUCGAAUAUAAAGGGAAUAAUAAACAUGGCAGAGAAAAAUUUCCAGAACCUAAAGUCUCAUGACUGCCACGUGAUUAUGACGCAACUGCUUCCGGUUGCAUUGAGGGGGCUUCUACCAGAUAACGUUCGAUUAGCCAUUGUGAAGCUAUGUGCAUUCCUCAAUGCAAUCUCUCAGAAGGUAAUCGAUCCAGAAAUCAUACCAAGGUUAGAGAAUGAUUUGGUGCAAUGUCUUGUCAGUUUCGAGUUGGUGUUCCCACCAUCCUUCUUCAACAUCAUGACGCACGUCCUAGUUCACCUAUGCGAAGAGAUUAGCGUUUUGGGUCCUGUAUUUCUACACAAUAUGUUCCCCUUUGAGAGGUUCAUGGGAGUCUUAAAGAAAUAUGUUGAUAACCGUGCUAGGCCAGAAGGAAGCAUCUCCAAGGGCCAUGAAAAUGAGGAGGUCAUUGAGUUUUGUAUUGACUUUAUUCCUGACCUUAAGCCGAUUGGUGUUCCUGAAUCGCGGCAUAAGGGCAGACUGGAUGGAAAAGGCACACUAGGAGGGAAUCAAAAAAUAUGUAUGGACGGACAUUCUCUCGCUGAAGCACACUACACAGUUAUACAGAAUUCCGUCUUGGUGGCUCCGUAUAUGGACGAACACAAGAAUUUUCUACGCUCCAAACACCCGGAGCGGUCUGAUGACUGGAUUACACGUGAACAAACCAGGAGUUUCGCCGGCUGGUUGCAGACACGUACCAUGCAUGACGCCUCUAUUGAAGAUGACCUGUACUCGCUGUCCCAGUUACCAUCUUCGAAUAUAAUGACUUUCAAAGGGUACGAGAUAAAUGAUAAUACAUUUUACACGAUCGCCCAAGAUAAGAAGAGCACCAACCAAAACAGUGGUGUUCGCUUUGAUGCAACAACCAAGACGGGAAAGGAAACAUAUUAUGGUUACAUAGAGGAGAUAUGGGAACUUGACUAUGGACGUGAUUUGAAGGUCCCUUUGUUUCGGUGCAAAUGGGUCAAUAUGACACGAUAUGGGGUAACGGAAGACCCGCAGUAUGGAAUGACAACAGUGGAUCUCAACAAUCUUGCGUAUGCAGACGAACCAUUCGUCCUAGCUAAUGAUGUGGCACAUGUUUUCUAUGUGAAGGAUAUGUCUACCAAGCCGAGAAAAAGAAAAGAUAAGGAAGCGAAUGCAUCAUACGAUGAGCCAAAGCGCCACAUAGUUCUUUCUGGGAAGAGAAACAUCGUGGGAGUGGAUGACAAGACAGACAUGUCAGAAGAUUAUGAAAAGUUUGAUCAAAUUGCUCCAUUCACAGUGAAUAUUGACCCGAGCAUCCAGUUAAAUGAUGAAGAUUUUCCAUGGCUACGGCGCAAAGGGACAUAUGCGAAGAAAAAGUUUCACACCCAAAGAUCUGGGAUGUGAUCGGCUUCACUAUCAUCAACUUCUUCUGUGUUUCACACCCACGAGGGAAUCUCUGUAAUAGUUAGGGUAGUUAUGUGUUUUGGCAUUUUAAACGCGAAGAAAUUUUAUGUGCAAACAAAUUCUUUCAUGCAUUUACUGAUUUUUUCAGCUAAAUGACCCUGAAAUUGAAAAGCAUUUCAAAUGAACUCAGAAAAGGUUGAAAGUUGGCAUGGUAUCAUAAUUUCACCCACAUAGCAUGUGCAAAAAAGUAGAGAGGGUUACCGCAAAAACUGGAUGCACUUCGUGUAUAAAAUGGACAAUCUCUUUCGAAGUAUCAGGGUUUCGGACGAAAACUCAUCCGUUACAAAGGGAUUUCAUUUUUUAAAUAACCUAAGCAUUACCAAAUUAAAUAUAAUGAUAAAACACACUAAUAUUAAACAUAAAAAAAGAAUCACUAAAAAUCUAUUUUCAAAGUUAAGUUAUUCACGAACUAGUGAUUCACACAAAUUUCAAAUAAUUCAAAAUGUAAACUAUUCAAAUUUGUAAACUACCGGCACUAACAAAAAGUUUGUAAUUUUUUGUACCUAAAGCAAAAAUAUUCCCAAAGAAACUCUAAAUACAGCAAAAAAACAACUCAAAAAUAAAUAAACCAAAAAUAAAUAAAGCAAAAAAAUAAGAAAAUAAAAAAGCCCACCUACUGGGCCAGAGCGGCCUGCAUACGACUAGAAACCCAACCUGUAGUUGGGCCAGGAUGCAGGCCCGCAAGCCCAGUAGGCCCACGGGCAGAGUAGGAGAGGUAGGCCCAGAAGGCCUGCUAUUGAGAGGAGCUCAAUGCAGUGCCCGCGCCGGGGCUUAUAAACUGGUCCUGGCGUUCCUCAACUAGCGAGGUGGGACUAAACUUCUGCGCCCCUCGCCUGGCAGCGCACACCCUUUAGUACCGGGUGGUGGCUCCAACCGGUACUAAAGGGGGGUCUUUAGUACCGGUUGGUGCCACCACCAGGUACUAAAGGGGUGCGCUUCCCGCCGCUUGGGCUGGCCAAAUUUGACCUUUAGUACUGGUUGGUGGCUCCAACUGGUACUAAAGGCCCAUCCUAUAUAAGCAGCACUUAGAAAUUUCGUCAGUUUUCAUCUGCUUCUUCUCCUCUGCCCCGUCGCCCGCCGCUCCCCGUCGCCGCCCCCGUCGCUGCCCCCGUCCCCGCCCCUCGUCGACGCCCCCGUCGCCGCCCCGUCCCCGUCGUCGCCGCCCCGGCCGUCCCCGUCCCCGUCCCCAUCNNNNNNNNNNNNNNNNNNNNNNNNNNNNNNNNNNNNNNNNNNNNNNNNNNNNNNNNNNNNNNNNNNNNNNNNNNNNNNNNNNNNNNNNNNNNNNNNNNNNNNNNNNNNNNNNNNNNNNNNNNNNNNNNNNNNNNNNNNNNNNNNNNNNNNNNNNNNNNNNNNNNNNNNNNNNNNNNNNNNNNNNNNNNNNNNNNNNNNNNNNNNNNNNNNNNNNNNNNNNNNNNNNNNNNNNNNNNNNNNNNNNNNNNNNNNNNNNNNNNNNNNNNNNNNNNNNNNNNNNNNNNNNNNNNNNNNNNNNNNNNNNNNNNNNNNNNNNNNNNNNNNNNNNNNNNNNNNNNNNNNNNNNNNNNNNNNNNNNNNNNNNNNNNNNNNNNNNNNNNNNNNNNNNNNNNNNNNNNNNNNNNNNNNNNNNNNNNNNNNNNNNNNNNNNNNNNNNNNNNNNNNNNNNNNNNNNNNNNNNNNNNNNNNNNNNNNNNNNNNNNNNNNNNNNNNNNNNNNNNNNNNNNNNNNNNNNNNNNNNNNNNNNNNNNNNNNNNNNNNNNNNNNNNNNNNNNNNNNNNNNNNNNNNNNNNNNNNNNNNNNNNNNNNNNNNNNNNNNNNNNNNNNNNNNNNNNNNNNNNNNNNNNNNNNNNNNUUUUUAAGUUAUAGAAAUAUUUAUAGAAAUGUUAGCAAUUUUUCUGUUUUUUAGUUAUAGAAAUAUUAGAAAUGUUAUAGAAAUAUUAGUUAUAUAUAUAGAAAUGUUAGAAAUUUUAGAAUUAGUUUUAGUUAGAUGAAUUAGAUUAAUGUCAAAUUGUUAGAAUUUGCAUAUAGAAUUUUAGUUAUCACAAUCCAAUCAUUUAAAAAAUGUUACUUUUUGCGGGCAUAUAGUAUUUGUUCUCGACGAUGCCCGGCCCGCAUCCUCGCCGUCGACCCGUUCGCGACGACGUCCGGCUGACCCAUGUCCGGGAUUGGGCUCCGCCGGGCUGGCACUGGGAGGUGCUACCUGGAGGGGCGCGCCGCUUGGUGAGGAACCCGGCCUCGGGUCCCGUCGUCGAUCCUGAUCUCCUUUAUUGGCGUUCGCGUGGGCCACAUUCGGUGCAGAGGGAGCCGGCCCCGCCGGAGGUGGUGCGUCGUCGUGUCAGGGAAGACGAGCACGUCCAUCGCUACAUGGCUGCUAUGGACGUCAGGUUCUCCAAUACCUGGCAGGUUCUUUGGGCAGAUGACCGGAGAUAUGAUCCUGUGAUGGUUCCUUAUCUUUGGGUGUCCACCGCCCGCGCCCCAGAAACCGCGAGUGGCCUAGAUUCUUCCACAGUAUUCGAUCUUUAUUAGCUACCUAGCCAGUGAUGUAUUCGAGAUUAUAUAUUAUUCGAGACGAUGUAUUCGAGAUUAUAUAUUAUUCGAGACGAUGUAUUCGAGAUUAUAUAUUAUUCGAGAUGAUGUAUUCGAGACGAUGCAUAUUAUGUACUAUAUGAUUCAGUUUUUCCUUAUUGAUUGCAUCCAUGCAUUGUAAUUUGAAUACUUAAUUGUUUUAUAUUUCUUCUGUAUUAGUUAAAUAAAAGCUAUGGCAGACAAUACCGGCAGAGAGGGAGAAGAGGCCCUGUUCGAGAUCAUACGCAGCCCUAGCAGGCCAGAUGAUAUGAAUGAAGAAAAUUACGGCUCCCAAUAUCUGAACAAUACCGGGGAGGGUGAUGAUAAGAUAUUCGAUCUCGACGAUCGAGCUGAUGAAGUCAUGAACUAUGAUUAUGAUUAUGAUGACGCAGACAAUGAUUAUGAUGACGAAUACAAUGUUGAUCUUGAAAUAACAAAGACUACCGGCGAGGUAUAUUUAUAUAAGCAGGCAUCUAGUGAUCAUCACUUUUUUUUAUUUGAAGAUAUAUUAACGAAUCGAUCUUUCUUCUUUCAGCCCUCCGGAUCGAGCAAAUCUGCUUCUACAGACAGCAGGACAAAGCGCGGCCCGAGAAAAAAGUUGAAGGAGGGUGUAAAGUACAACAUCGAUUCCAUCAAAGCUAGUGGCGAACCCCUCACGCCUAAGAACAUUGCGAGCAAGUUCGUUCGUCAGUGCGGAGUUCUUGUGAAGGACCAACUCCCGAUCUUCAUUCAAGAAUGGAAAGAGCCAAAAACUAAACGCCCAGAUGUUACUUGGGUCGACGACAGAGCAAAACAAAAGCUUUGGGAAUCUCUGAUGGAACAUUUCACCCUACCAGAUUAUUUCACUGAUGCAGAUGUGCAGAAAGUCAGGGACGCUGCUCUUAAGAAGAUGGCAAUUGCAUUCAACACCCACAAGAAAACUGUAUGGGCCAACUACCUCGCUGCAGAAAGGAAGACUCCAGAAUUCAAGGGAACACUGGAGAAGCAAAGAGAACGCUGGCCCGCUUUCGUGAAAUUCAAGGAAUCAGAAUUAUCUAAGGAACGGUCGAGAAAAAACAAGGCCAAUGUCGCAAAAAAUACGCAGUUCCAUAGGCUGGGUCCAGGUGGCUACACGGUGGCAAUGCCUAAGUGGGAUAAGUCUGAGCAAGAGAUGGAGGAUACAGGGGUCACUCCGGUUACUAGGAGCUGGCCCCCCAGGUGCAGAACUUGGUUCUAUGCGCAUGGGGGGGCGUUGGACCCGAAGACAGGCCUGGUUUCGAAGAAGGCAAGUCUAAACGGAGCAAAACAAAAGUUACUUGAAGCAAUAGAAGAUGCUCGAAAGGGGGUGUUCACGCCCAACAGAGAGAACGACGAGCUUACGCGCGCCCUGGGAAAUCCUGAACACCCGGGAAGAACACGAGGCAAGGGCGUUAUUCCCUGGUAUGAGGGCUUUUCGGAAUGGAACGACGACUACAGGACCCGUGCAAGAAAUAAGAUGGAGGAGGAGAAGAAGAGGAAGCUGGAGGAGGAGCAAAGGAAGCAGGACGCGGAACGCCUUCAAGGCCUAGAAGCAAGGCACACGGACUUGGCACUCAAAUUCCAGCAGCAGCAGCAGCAGAUCGACUCACUUAGCCAGGAAAGGGGGUCUCAGCAGCGGCAGCAGCAAGCGAAUGAUCAUCCAGCAUUGGAUAGCACCGUCCCAUCCAUGCCGAGAAGCAGCGUUGGUUCCGCCCCGGGCGACGCACUGCUGGAUACAUACCCUGUGGAUGACAUCAUAAAGAACACUAACUGUGAGCUACACUACAAAAUGAAGAACAUAUCCAUGAAGGUGGCUAACAUCGUUGCUUUUACAAUUACCCCCGAAGCAACCUUCCAUUGCGCCCCGAUUCCAGAGGGCUAUGCUCGUGUCUUGGUUGAUGAGGUGGUGGGCCCAUAUUCGGGGCUAGAGCUUGACAUUCCUGGAGGUGACGACGAGCAAACACUGGGAGAGGCCAUACAUCGUUUCAUCCUAUGGAAAAAGGAUUGCAUCAUCUUUCGAAGUCCACCGACACCGCGUCUGCCGACUCCUCCUCGAAGUCCGCCACUGUGUCAGCAGACUCCCGCUCCUCCAAGUCCGCCACCGUGUCAAGCCACACCUCCUGCUUCAAGUCUGGCACAGCGUCAGGUCACACCUCCUGCUUCAAGUCCGACACCGUGUCAGGCCACACCUCCUGCUUCAAGUCUGGCAUAGUGUCAGGCCACUCCUCCUGCUCCAACUAAGCCACGUCAGCCGUCUCCGCCGCCUAAGCAAUCGCAGAAGAGACAUGCCGCAGCUAUGGUGCGUAGCGGUACGAGUCGAGGUAGUACAGAAAGUACAGGCGGAGACAAGCGAUAUAAAUAUGGUCCAAGCAGCCUCGCUCCUCUUCCUCAGAGGCCUUACGACAUGACCGAGGAGCAAAACGAUGCAAUAGUGCGGGCCGAAGUGGACGCUCAUUUUCGACCGAAACCGGCAACGCCGCCGAGGGAGAAAGUGCCUGAGGAAAAGAUUGACCACUUCAUUCGUAUGGCUAGACCACCAGCUCCCAAGCCUGUUGACUCGGACUAUGAGCGCCAAAUCAAGAAGGCACAUCGAGCACGACUACAGAAAGAAGCGAGCUCGAGCUCGAGCCAACAAGCAGCUGUCAAAAAAUGCGGGAAAACCGUUCCCCAGCUGGGAGAACAGGCGGCGCAAUCAACCCCCCCGCUUGUUGUGCCAACAACACAUGAGAGUAUGCGCGCCCAAUAUUAUUGUGGGCAAACCGUUUACGUUCCCGAGCUGCGCGAUGUGGUAAUAACCGAGGAGCAUAUAAUGCAGGCUGAAAUGCUCAAGAUCACUGUUGGACAACUCCUUGAGAUCGAGCCCAUGCCUCCGCUUAGAGAGGAGGAAAUAAAGCAGAAAUAUAUCCGGGGCCAACCUUUGGUCGAGCCCGAGGAGGCCAAGAACCUCCCAACGAGAAUGUAUGAAUUGCAUGAUUGGUAUAUGAAAAUUACCAAGAUUUCCAAUCGAGAGUCCCUCAUGGUGCAAGUCAAGGAAGAUCAUUACUUCCAUAAGAAAGCUCUGGCCAUUGAGUAUUCAGAACUAUUUCAGCUAUUCAAUCAAGAUGCACUCGACAAAUCUAUCGUCAGUUGCUAUUGUCUGUAAGUGAUUUCUUUCUGUAAUUUAAGUCUCAAGCUAGCUCUAGUUCUUAUUGAUUGAUCAUUAAUUACCUGUAAUUAUAUAUCCCCACUAUAUAUUCUUUUCUGUGGUAUUAUGCAGGAUGAAGAUGUAUGAAAUGAAAAAAGCUGGACGCUAUGGCAUUGGGUUCAUUGACCCAAAUACCGUUAAUGAAUACACAUGGAAAUUGGAAUGGUGUAGACAAGAUGUAGAGAAAUGCAUGCUAGAGUUCUUGAAGCGCCUCAAUCGCAAUGAAGAUAUACUACUUCCUUACAACUUCGAGUGAGUCACACUGUCUUGUACUAAAAAUUCUGUUUUUGCUUACUAGCUAGAUGUUAAUAAGUGUAUAGGGUUUAGGGUUAUAGUUGAUUAGUGUUAUGCACAUGCCUGCUUAAUUUAUACAUGUAAACGUAUGCGCAUGCAGCUUCCACUGGAUCUUGUUAGACAUUAAAGUUGACGAAGGAAAAGUUGAAGUACUAGACUCACUACUUAAAAAAAUAGUGACUACAGCAUCGUGAAGGGGAUAGUCGACAGGUUAUUUCAAUCAUUAUUAACUAUAUCUCGGCCUAUUUAGUUCGUCAUUUCCUGAUAUGAACUAUUUUUAAUAACCCCUUUAUUAAUUUUCUUUGCCGGCGAGCAGGGCUUGGGCAAAGUACAUCAAGGUGACUCCAGGAAAAUGGCGACAAAAGCUAUGUUGGUAUCGACCCAAGGUAAGUAAUUAAGUAGUACUAGCUAGCUAGCUACCAUCUCUUUAAUUCUUGUUUCAAUACCAUUAAUUAAUUAACAUGCUUGAUUAAUUAUUAUCUGAUUAAAUUCUAUUGUCGUAAAGGCCCUGAAGCUGGCGCCGGGGACUGAAGUGUGUGCAUACUACGUUUGCGAGAACAUUCGCAUGAUGGCGUCCGAAAGGAGCAGAUCUGAUAGACAGGACUGGAUACGUUUGCCAGAACACUAUUCACAAAUCUUACAUGAUUGUCGAUAUCUAGUCACACAACUAAUACACAUGCAUAUUGAUCUCCUUCUUAACAGUUCAAAGAGGUGCGGGACAAGCUCCUAUCAGAGGAGCGCAUACGAGCACUUCAAGAGGAAAUAGCGGGAUUUUUGCUCGACCAGGUCAUAGAUCCCAAAGGAGAAUACUAUUACCCGCUACCGCCCACAUGAACCACUUGUCAUCGUGCUCCGAAGGCACCAAGGCAACAUGUAGGAGAAAUUGUAUAUAUAUAUACAUGUGUAUGUGUGAAUAAUUAAUGGUGGUUGUGAGACAUUCGAUUAUAUAUAUAUAUGAUCGGUUCUACGAGAAAAUCUAUUUAUAUAUAUGCAUAACGUGUACAAUAUGUAGUAUCGUAAAAAUACCAGCAAACAAAAAAGAAUUAAAUGGAAAACACAAAAUUAAUGGAAAAAUAAAAAUUAAAACCAAAACCCCCCAAACAUUUAGUAUCGGUUGGUGCUACCAACCGGUACUAAUGGUCUACCAGCACCUGGGCCUGGCUCGUGCCACGUGGUGGCACUUUAGCGCCGGUUCGUGCCGAACCGGUAGUAAAGGGGGGGGGGCUUUAGUCUCCACUCCAUAGUGCCGGUUGCAGAACCUGCACUAAAGGCCCUUAUGAACCGGUGAUAAAGGCCUGUUCUGCACUAGUGAUCGAGAACCUCGAAAUUAAAAACAAGUGCCUACUGAGCAAAUGGCUCUAUAGAUUAUUACAUGAACCCGAGGGUAUGUGGGCACAAAUCCUAAGAAAUAAAUACCUACACUCUAAAACUCUUGCUCAGGUGACCGUACGACCUAAUGAUUCACCAUUUUGGAAGGGUCUCAUGAGAGUGAAAGAAACCUUCUUCCAUAGGGUGAAAUUCAUAGUUGGGGACGGAACAACAACAAGGUUUUGGGAGGAUACUUGGUUAGGCGACACACAGCUAGCUCUCCAAUAUCCUUCCCUGUAUCAUAUUGCUCAACGUAAAGAUGAUUACAUAGCAACGGUUUUACAGACGGUACCUUUGAAUAUCCAGUUCAGGAGGUCCCUAGUAGGGAAAUGAUGGGCUUCCUGGUUACACCUAGUGAGGAGGUUGAUGGAUGUUCAACUCUCUGAUCAGGGAGAUGCAUCGAACUCGAAGUUAACGAGUAAUGGAGUGUUUACGGUCAAAUCGAUGUACUUAGAUCUCAUUAACUCUGGCCCAAUCCCAAGAUCGUUACAUAUUUGGAAAGUUAAGGUUCCUGUUGAGGAUAUAGACCUUAGAGUCACCGGCCAGGAGGGGCCGGGUCACUCGCGUGGUCAUUGCCAGGAGCCCGGAGCCAAGUUUGAAGACGAUGGGCCAGAGAUGGGCUGAGACCCGGAUAUGGCUUAAGGCCCGUAGUUACAAUCAUUAUUAUAGUAGAACUUGUAGUGUAAGGCAAGUAUAGUUGAGAGUCCGAGCCGGACACUCUUAUGAGCCGGCCGGGACUCUAAGGGCUGCUGGGCGUCAGCCUCCCUAUAUAAAGGGAUGACGCGGCAGUGGUUUAAGGGCGACAACAAUCUCAUCGAGAGCCGGGCAUAGCUAUUUAGCUCCCUGGUGAUCGUAACCCUAAUCAAUAUCACCUCAAACUGGACGUAGGCUUUUACCUUCACCGUAAGGGGCCAAACCAGUAUAAACCCUCGUGUUCCUUGUCCCGCAUAACCCCUUCAAGCUUCCUAGCUGCGAUGGCUCCAUGACUAAGUCCUAGCUCGAGGACAUCUGCCGUGACAAUUCCACGACAGUUGGCGCCCACCGUGGGGCCAGCGCACGGUGGAUUUGAGUUCUUGAAGGGCAGCUUCGAAGGGCUCAAGGGAUACGCUGUGGGCCGGAUGACCAAAAGUCGUCGCGGCAAGCUCUACAUCGACGAUGCAAACUGGGGCCCCGAAGCCGGCUCAAUUGAGUACGGGUACCGGGUCCCCUUCGGCGGAAUUCAUGUUUUCAUUGGCAAGAUUGGUGAGCCGGGCCCUGAGCCGGGUCUCUGCGCUGGUCUCGUCGAGACGGCUCAGCUUGCGCGACCCGCCCAGGCCCGGCCUGCCCUAAGGCAUGCUUUUGUGGGGUGUAUCCAGGGAGGACUCUCCGAUCAAUCUAGAUCUGGGGAUGGGACGGCCGCCGGCUCUGACAGCGAGUCGGCCACCGAUGAGUCAAACUCGUUGUACCAACUUCAAGAUGGCAGGCUCAUGGGUUGUUCCGAUGGUGAGAGUAUUCCAGACCUUUUUGAGCCGCCAAGUCAGGUUGGAGUUUUUAUGACUGGUGCGCAGCCUGUUCAGAACCCCGCUGCUGGAGCGGAAAACCCGGUGCCUUCUCUGGCUCAGAUGCUAAUGGAUCUCACGGACAAGAUGACGGCCCUGUUAACCGCCACGGUUGACCCGGCGGAUCAAGCUCAGCAUGAUGCGGAGGUGGCACAGUUAAAAUUGGAUCUGAUAAAAGCUAAAGAGGAUCUUGCAGCGGAAGGGAUUAGGCUGGCUGCGGAGCGGGCGGCUCUCGAUGCCCGGACUCAGCUGAUUCAGGCGCAGUCCUUCCAACUCACGAUGGAUCAGAACGCGGCCAAUGAGGUCAUGAGAAGGAGGCAUCAAAAGGCCCAGUCCCGACUCCCACCGGUUUACGAUCCACGCAACCUCUUCAACACGCCAGGUGCAGGGUCUAGUAACCCGCCAGGGGUCAUAGCGCCCGGGUCUGGACCCCUUAUUCAGCCACGAGUGAUGGGGCCUCCCCAGGUGCCCCCUGCCCCGCCUCAGUAUGUGCCAAUACCCCCGGGUCAUUAUAAUAACCCGCUGGAGAACAUGGUAGCUGCGGCAGCACGGCUGGCGGCUCUCCCCGUUGACGGCGACUCUCCGACGGCCAUCAAAACCCGCCGGGUCAGGGAACUCCUGCAGACGGCACUGGCACAGCAAGAGGCGUACUCCUACAGCCGGGAUAGGAUCCACUCGACCCCUCGUCCGGGUCAGAGCCCGAGUUACAGCCGGCACAUGGUCUUAGCAACCGGCUCAAGCAAUGUCCGACGCCAUGACCCGCCCCCUGGCCAUGGCCCGGCUCAUAAUGGAGCCUUUUACGCAGCAGACCAGGACAAAGCGCGCCAAGAGGUGGAGCAAGUACCCCAAUUGACGGCUUACCAGACCCCCCGGCUUAUCCAACGACUUCCGUUGAUGUGGGUAUCCCUACCAGGACCGGGGGGGUCCCUUGUUUGGUGCCAGCUAUCCGUAAUGAACGUCUACCUAAGGACUUCAAAGGCCCUAGGAAGGUGCCUAACUACACAGCUGACUUACAGCCUGCAGCCUGGAUUGAGAGUUAUGAGAUGGCUAUGGAAUUGCUGGAGGUCAGUGAGGCGGCCAUGGCCAAGUAUUUCACCAUGAUGUUGGAUGGAACUGCCCGCACGUGGUUGAAAGGGCUACCACCGAAUUCCAUUGGGUCUUGGGCUGAGCUGAAAGCCCGGUUCAUCCAAAACUUCAAAGAUACCUGUAGGCAGUCUAUGUCAAUUGUGGAUUUGACUAACUGUAAGCAGCAGGAGGGUGAAUCCACGACCCAUUGGGUUCGCCGGGUCAAGGAGAUCAUACAUUCAUCAGAUAAGAUGGAUGCCGGCUCUGCAGUCUUAAUGUUGGAACAGAACUGUCGCUUUGUGCCCCUAAAGAUGAAACUCGGGCGGCUUAAACGCGACUGCACCGAUAUGGGUACAUUAAUGGCGGCUCUUGUCAACUACGCCGAUUCCGAUGGUACUAAGGAUCCCCCUUCAGAUGAUGAAAGGACAGGGAAGGGAAAGAAGAACGGCAAUGGCAAGAGUCCUCAGUUUAACCCGGGGAACCAAGGGAAAGAAGAUCGGGCGCAAUGUUCACGCUUACGUGGAUGAUAUUGUGGUUAAAUCCAUCAAAGAGGAAACCCUGAUAGAUGAUUUAAGGGAAACCUUUGAUAAUCUCCGGGUCUAUAAGAUGAUGCUUAACCCGGCCAAGUGUGUCUUUGGUGUUCCUGCAGGCAAACUCUUGGGCUUCUUGGUUUCUGACAGAGGCAUUGAGGCUAACCCGGAGAAAAUCAAGGCCAUCACCUCCCUGGCUAAGCCGGCGUGUAUAAAUGACGUUCAGCGCUUGGCGGGUCGCAUCGCUGCGUUAAGCCGGUUUAUAAGCCGUUUGGGUGAGAAGGCCAUGCCCUUAUAUCAGUUGAUGAAGAAAACUGAUAACUUUGUCUGGAAUGAUGUAGCUAAUACCGCCUUUGAGGAUUUGAAAAACCAGCUGGCAGAGCCCCCAGUCCUUGCUGCUCCGGUUGAUAAGGAGCCCUUACUACUGUAUGUGGCGGCAAAUGCACGAGCCGUCGGUGUGGCUAUUGUGGUGGAGCGCAAGGAGGAGGGUAAGGAGCAUCCGGUUCAGCGGCCGGUUUAUUAUGUCAGCGAAGUGCUCAUUGAGUCCAAGCAGCGAUACCCGCAUUGGCAGAAGCUGGUAUAUGGUGUAUUCAUGGCAAGCCGGAAACUUAAGCAUUAUUUUCAGGGUCAUCCCAUCACUGUGGUCAGCUCUGCUCCCCUUGGCGAUAUCAUUCAAAAUAGAGAGGCCACAGGGAGAAUUGCUAAGUGGGCUAUAGAACUUGGACCUCAUGGUCUCAGAUAUGUGCCACGCACUGCUGUUAAAUCUCAGGCCUUGGUGGAUUUCAUGAAUGAUUGGACAGAGUCGCAAGUGCCCGAGCAAAAGCCGGAUAACACUUAUUGGACUAUUCAUUUUGAUGGGUCCAGGCAGUUGGAGGGCUCGGGGGCUGGCGUUGUAUUGGCUUCCCCUAAGGGUGACAAGUUCCAUUAUGUGUUACAGUUGAUGUUUCCUUGCACUAACAAUGCGGCUGAGUAUGAAGCCUUGCUCCACGGUCUUCGGAUGGCUAAGGAGAUGAGCUUAAGCCGGGUAAGGUGCUUUGGUGACUCAGACUUGGUGGCUCAACAAGUAUCAGGCAAGUGGGACUCUAAGGAUCCUCUCAUGGCGGCUUAUCACCGCGAGGUUGAUGCCAUUGCUGGGCACUUUCAGGGCUACCAAGUGGAGCACAUUGAUCGCAGGAAGAAUGAGGCGGCUGAUGCUCUAAGCCGGCUGGGCUCUCAGCGAAAGCCGGUGCCGCCUAACACUUUCCUGGACGUCCUGUAUAACCCUUCGGUUAAAUUGCCUACAGAGGAAGACUUGGCUAUCCCUAACCCGGAGGCACGACUGGUGGCGGCUCUUCAUGUCAUACCAGACUGGACAAUGCCAUAUCUGGCUUAUAUAACCCGGGGAGAGUUGCCUGAGGAUGAAACUUUGGCCAGGCAAAUAACCCGGCGGGCUAAGUCAAUGAUCGUUAUCGAUGGCGAGUUGCAUCAUCGCAGUGUUACAGGGGCAUUUUAGCGUUGUGUCUCCCCUGAGGAAGGUCAAGAGAUCUUGCGUGAGAUCCAUGAAGGGGAUUGUGGCCAUCAUGCCGGCUCAAAAUCCCUCGUAGCCAAGGCUUUCCGUCAUGGUUUUUAUUGGUUGACGGCUCAUGCUGAUGCAGAGGACUUGGUCAGUAAAUGUGAUGGUUGCCAAAGGUUCUCACGACGGGCUCACGUGCCGGCUCAGGAGUUGAGGAUGAUCCCAAUCACUUGGCCCUUUGCGGUCUGGGGGCUUGAUAUGGUGGGGCCUUUUAAACGGUCCAAGGAUAAGAAGACCCACCUCUUGGUGGCAGUUGACAAAUUCACAAAGUGGGUGGAAGCUGAGCCAGUUAGCAAGUGCGAUGCAGCCACGGCGGUUCAAUUUAUGAAAAAGGUGAUUUUCCGCUUUGGCUUUCCGCACAGCAUUAUAACUGACAAUGGCACCAAUCUUUCCAAAGGCGCCAUGGAAGAGUUUUGUCAAUGAGAGCAUAUCCGACUUGAUGUUUCUUCAGUGGCUCAUCCUCAAUCCAAUGGUCAAGCUGAGAGAGCUAAUCAGGAGAUUCUAAAGGGCAUCAAGCCCCGGCUUUUGGUCCCUUUCCAACGGACGCCGGGUUGUUGGGUGGAGGAGUUGCCCUCCGUCUUAUGGAGCAUCAAUACUACUCCUAACAGAUCUACAGGCUUCACGCCUUUCUUCAUGGUUUAUGGAGCAGAAGCAGUCCUCCCCAGCGACAUCCGUCACGACUCACCUCGCGUGGCGGCUUACGUUGAGACGGAUAAUGAACAGGCGCGCCAAGAUGCUCUUGACUUGUUGGAUGAACAGCGUGAUGUGGCAGCAGCCCGGUCAGCGAUUUACCAACAAGACCUGCGCCGUUAUCAUAGCCGCCGGGUCAAAUCCCGGGUCUUCCAGGAAGGCGACCUUGUGCUCCGGCUCAUUCAGGAUCAAACAGAUGCACACAAGUUAUCCCCACCUUGGGAAGGGCCCUUUGUGGUCAGCAAGAACUUGCACAACGGGUCAUAUUACCUCGUUGACAUUCGGGAGCACAAAAAUUCACGUAAGUCUGAGGAAGAGACCCGUCGGCCGUGGAACAUAGCUCAGCUUCGGCCUUACUACACUUGAGCCACCGGCUCUCGUGGUGUACAUAUUUCUCUCAGCCAUAUAUAUAUUAUGAUAAGCAAUAAAGCAGGACCUCUGUCCUUUUUUCUCCUCCAAAAAUGCACGUGUUGUUUUUAUUACAAGAUUACAUGAUGACUUAAAGGAGGAUCCGGCUUAUGAUCGUAUUCGAAUCUAGCCGUAAGCAGUAAAGUCACUUGGGGGCUUCCUGUUCAAACAUGGGUCGUAUUCGAACCAAAGAGAACAUAGCUGUCGAUACCCAUUUGAUUGGCAAAGUGCCGAGCUCAUUGGGAGGUUACCUUUGGUCACAUUUGAAUCAUAGGUUAACCCCUCUGAGAAUCGACGUGGAUCGUAUUCGAAUCAGCGUCGUUAAACAAUUUUAAAAAUCAAUUGGGGGCUUCCUGUUCAAACAUGGGUCGUAUUCGAACCAAAGAGAACAUAGCUGUCGGUACCCUCUUGAUUGGCAUCGCCACACCCGCUGGGGGCUAUAUGAUCGUAUCCGAAUCUUGGCUUAACCCCUUUGGGCCGGGUUUCUGGUCGUAUUCGAACCGGAAGCCCCUAAGUUCUUCUGCUUUAUCACAAGUUUACUCUGAUUAUGACAAGGUGUGCAUGGCCGGGUCUCACUUUGCCGGCUUAACUUUGGUUUACAAGUGUUAGUUGAACAUCAUGGGUGUCAUCAAGGCAAGUAAAUCAGAGUUAAGGUACCAACCGUGCUACCCGGGUUAUUUAAGCCGGAAGUAUGCUUACAGGCCGUUAAGUGUGUUAUUACGGCUAUGUUAAGGGUAUAAUUAAGGACCAGUCUUUUUUGAUUCAUAUUCCGGGUGAUCUAUCUCAAACACCUGAUUCUCAGGGCGGUAAGCCGCCUUGAGACUUGUGAUUUGCCUUUCUAUGCAGGAUACUUAAAGGUACCUCUUUGAGGUUGAGAAAGACAAAGGGAUGAUUAUGACCCGGAGAAACAUUAAAGAGACAACUUCAAAAGACCUUGGCAUUCAAUACGUGCACGAUGGCACGGCAGAGAUAGACUGUUGCACCUAAUUUAUUACAAAAUUCAUCAAAUCUAACAAGGGUGGAGCAUUGUUUGAUAAACCGACAGCCGAGUUACGAUGCCCGCUGAGUGGAAGUCUCUGGCUCGUUCCUGUCCUCUCCUCCGGCUGAUCCCAAGACUUGGAAGGUUGAUGACUUCCAAUCGAUGCCGCUGAGAGCCUCGAACUGGGCUUCCUCGUCAAUUAACCCGGCCGGGUCAAUCUCCGGGGCGAAGGUGUGCUGACGAGCCGGCGGGAUCAGGUCGAGGGCUUCAUAGCGAGGGGUUGGAAUCCUCUGAUUUUCCGCGUCAUAACCCGGCUGGUAUUUGGUCAGAUCUGUGUCAUUCCCGAUGAGGGUGGCCACCGGGCGUACAGCCUUCACGCACGUCGCGAAGUCCUUCUGAUCGAAAGCUGAGCCGUCUUCCUUCAGGCUCGGAUAACCCAGGGUGAUGUCUGCCAGGUCUAGCUCCGGCAGGAAUGCCUUGGCUCGGCUCAGCGCGGCGAUUGCUCCGGCUCUCGCGGAGGCCCGUCGCAGCUCUUGGAUCCGCUGAGGCAGAACGGCGAGCCGGCACAGGACUUCGGCCAGAUGAGUUGGCACCUCGUUGGAUAGGGCCACCACAGCUAAGGCACGCUGUGACCCGCUGUAGAGCUGCUCCACCAGGGUAUACACGGCCUUUAGCUUGGUGACCAUGCUCUGGUUGAGAUUGGCGCUUCUGGGACCUGUUUAAUAGAAUCAGAUAAGCCGGCGGCAAGGAUGAACAAUGAGAUAUAAACAUUCCAACAUUGAUGAAAGCUGGUGAGGCGACUUACCAAAGAUGGCGUCCACCAUUUGGGAAACCUGGCGCUUUAGGCCGGAGAGCUCGGCGGUCUUCUCAGAGAGAGCCUUCUCCGCCUGUUCUGCCCGGGUCAUCAGUGCGGCCUUCUCUUCGGCCCAGGCUUUUCUCUCAGCAUCAAACUCGGUCUUCAACUUCUCUUGAGUGGCGAUGCUGGAUACAAACUUGGUGUUUGCCUUCCGGGUCUCCAUCUCCUGCAUCUUCAGUCGGCUCUUGAGAUCCGCAAGGUCCGCCUCUAGCUUCUUGCCCACAGCCUGUAUAAAUUUCCGGGUUAUGAGCAGUUACUAUUUAAGUCCCAAGCACUUUCCAAGCAAAGACACUUGGCACUUGGGGGCUAAUGCAUAUUGAAUGUAUCUAUUUACAUACAGCCGGCUCAAUUGAGUAAGCCGGAACCUAAGUCUACAACAUAUUCAAGCAUAAGUCGUCGACUUGGGGGCUAGCAUGGCAAAGGUAACUAUGCAGUAAGUAAGAAGACAGCAGAAGGAUACCUCCGAUUUUUGUUGGAUCUGGUUUACCAUGGCGACCUCCGCGUCCCGGCUCUUGUGCACCUGGCUGAUGUAGCCAGAGACGAGCUCUCCAAUGCUCAAGUUGGUGUAGUCGGAGAGGUCCAGGUUCACCCGGUGGGGCUGCAGCAACUCCCCCUUCGCGGAGCACUUGGCCAACACGGUCGGUCUCCCCGGCUCAACAAACUCCAUCUGGGUGAUUACCACGUCCGGGUCGUCUGCUGGCGGAGCUGAGCCGGAGGCCUCCGGGUUAACCGAAGCUUCGGUCGUUGCCUUGGUAGUCGGGGCAGUGGCCUCAGGUGCCGUGUCCAUUGGAGUGGUGGCUUCGUGGGCGGAGGCAGCUGGCGGCUCUUGAGCCGUCACCUCCGGUUCAGGUAAGUCCGGCACUCCGCCUGACCUGGUCUUCUUCACUCUUUUGGUGAGCUUUGCCUGGGCGCUGAAAGGACAGAAACAUUCAGCACAAAGAGAGUAAGUACAGACAAGUAUAAUGAGAGAUGGUUGUCAUUACCCGGGCGCGGUCUUGAAAGUCGGAAGACUCGACUGCAUAGAGUCGCCCGAAGAAGGGGAGGUCUCCUGAUAAUUGGAGUCAGAAGAAUUGAGUGGCUGACGGAUAACACCCGCCAACGGAUGAAAAGGGUACAAGUGAGAAAAAACCUCAGUUCGACGCUUCCUUGUUGCGUCGGGUAACCCGGCGGAGAGAUCGGUGUCCUUGUUGGUCCGGGUGUGACGCCGGCUUUCAUGAACCUGUCGCUUCAAAAUAAAUUGAGGGUCUUGGUAAGCUAAAGGAUGUGAAAAGCUUACUUUCUGGGUUACCCUUCGGACUUUCAGCUGUGGCAAGGGCUCCGAGUCGGAGGAAAGUGACAUUACCUCUUCAACCACCGGGUUACUGGCGCCGGUGUCAUCCUGUCAAUGAGCAAGUGUUGAUAAGGCGGAUAGCAACAAACAACAGAUACAGCAAGAAUUUAAAGGCUUAGGGGUUAUCUCUGACUCGGAGUUGUCGCUUAAUUGCAUCAGCUCCGAAGCAGUAGGUCUGCUUCCUUUUUUGCGAGGGGCGGCUUUCUUCGCCUUCCUGGCCUUCUUGGCCGCCUCAUGGUCAUAUUUGACCCGCCAGAACUUAUCAUCAGCCUGAAAAAUACAAUGAUGGAUUCUUAAAACGGUUCAGAUGAAGGUUAUAUGCAGACGAAGAUAAAAGUUAAAGUCAGCGGCUUACCGCUGGGGCUGGAUUGGUCUUGCAGAAGGGGGCUAACCCGGUCCUUCUGCAGUCUGCCAGGCUCUCGUUUAAAAGAGCCUUGGUCUCCUCCUCUGCAAUGUCUUCUGGAAGAUCAUUGCGACUGUGCCUCUGAGGGUCAUCCUUUCGCCCGGUGUAUUCACACAUUAAGCCGGGGCGGCGGCUCAAUGGGAUCACCCGCCAUGAGAUCCAGACCCGGACCAGGUCGAUUCCGUUCAGACCGUUGCCCAGGAGGGCCUUGAUUUUAUUGAUAGUAGGAAGCAGAGGCUGGCGCUCCGCUGGAGUCAGCUUGUCCGACAGUGGGUGAGUCGGCUUUAGACGUGUUGGGCGAAAGCCGGGCAGCGGGCUUUCGUCAGCCGGGGACGUUUCUUGGCAGUAGAACCAAGUCAUGUUCCAGUCCUUGGGGUGGCUCGGCGGCUCUGCAUAAGGGAAUAGACAGUCCCUACGCCGCUGGAUGGAAAUGCCACCUAGCUCCAGACUUGGCCCGUUGGCGCACUCAUUCUGGCGGUUUAAGUAAAAAAGCUCUCUGAAGAGCAACAGACUAGGUUCUUCUCCUAGGUAAACUUCGCAGAAGACUUGAAAAUUGCAGAUGUUGGAUACGGAGUUGGGUCCUAUAUCUUGAGGCCGCAAGUCGAAGAAGUUGAGCACGUCCCUGAAAAACUUUGAGCCGGGCGGUGCGAAGCCCCGGCUCAUAUGAUCUGCGAAAAUCACCACCUCCCCGUCCUUUGGCUAUGGUCUCUCUUCCGACGGGUCAGGGGCACGGUAGGACAUGAUUUCCUUCUUAGGAAAAUAUCCGGACUUAACAAAAUUGGCUAGGGUCUCGUUGGUGACGUUGGACCUCAUCCAGUUGCAAGUGAUGGGAGCCUUGGGAGGCAUGGUGAAAGUUGGUGGUCUAUGACAAAAAGGAAAAAUGUCCGGGUUAAUUAUAAGCCGGAGAUCUACAGUUCAAAACUACGGUGGCGGCUUAUGAAGGGGACUAAUGGUAUAUACUCAAAUACAGUGGGUUAUUUAAGCCGGAAGAUUCUAUGAAGCAUGGUUUCUUUUAAACCGGAAGAUUCUACGUCGCGUGGUUUCUUUAAAACGGAAUUGUAAGCCGCCAAGUUUCAAUGGUUGCAGUUUUUACUAAGUGUGGUAAAACAGGUUUCACGUAUCGCAGUAACUUUUUUGGAUCAAAAUAGUCGGGUGAAAUGAAAAUUUUCUAGACCUAGAAACAGACGAGCGGAUGUUCUUGAGCUCGAAUGAAGCAUUUAUGCAGUAGAAGAGAUCUACGGGCAUUUGAAAUGAGUCCUAAACAACUGCCGCACUGGUUCUAUACAAGACUAAAAAUCAAGCAAGGGCAGUGACUAGGAGAACUACCGAAGCUUGUGGCAAUGGCGAUGAACACGAAGAACGUGGAUGAACUCUACUGCAGAUCUACUCUACGGGAUGGAGAGAACUUACCGGAGCUGAAGAGGUGCGGGAGUCGCCGCCGUUUAUCUGGUUCGAGUCAGGGUGAUGCAGCGGCCGAGGUUGACGAAGACCGGAGGCGAGACGACGGCGGCGGAGUGCGAGCUCAGUGAGAAAGGCAGCGGCGCGAGGAGGAAGAAGGGAGCGUGAGAAGAGCCAGUCGGGCCGGCCUAUUUAUAAGGCAAGGUCAUAAGUGGGCGCGAGAUUCAAGGAGACCACAGCGUGGUUAUCUCCCCCCGCGACGCCUCGAUUUUCGGAAUGACAGUAAAAGCAAAGAUCCGUUGCGGAUCUGGCGGAGUAAAAAACGGAUUUAAUGGAGGGUGACGUCACGGCGGAUUAUCCGGAGUCCAGAGGAUGACGUCACUCCGGGUUAUGGCCUUCACAUGAAUGGUAAGCCGGAGAUUUUUCUGUCAGAAGAGUUGAAGAUUGACAUGAGCCGGCUCAAAUCAAUCUGGGGCCUAAUGUUGAGGAUAUAGACCUUAGAGUCACCGGCCAGGAGGGGCCGGGUCACUCGCGUGGUCAUUGCCAGGAGCCCGGAGCCAAGUUUGAAGACGAUGGGCCAGAGAUGGGCUGAGACCCGGAUAUGGCUUAAGGCACGUAGUUACAAUCAUUAUUAUAGUAGAACUUGUAGUGUAAGGCAAGUAUAGUUGAGAGUCCGAGCCGGACACUCUUAUGAACCGGCCGGGACUCUAAGGGCUGCUGGGCGUCAGCCUCCCUAUAUAAAGGGACGACCCGGCAGCGGUUUAAGGGCGACAACAAUCUCAUCGAGAGCCGGGCAUAGCUAUUUAGCUCCCUGGUGAUCGUAACCCUAAUCAAUAUCACCUCAAACUGGACGUAGGCUUUUACCUUCACCGUAAGGGGCCGAACCAGUAUAAACCCUCGUGUUCCUUGUCCCGCAUAACCCCUUCAAGCUUCCUAGCUGCGAUGGCUCCACGACUAAGUCCUAGCUCGAGGACAUCUGCCGUGACAAUUCCACGACAGUUCCCUUGCGUAUUAAAUUUUUUAUGUGGUUUGUGCACAAGCAAGUGAUCCUCAUCAAAGAUAACUUAAUAAAGCGGCAAUGGGUAGGUAGUUCAAGAUGUUGCUUUUGUGUUCACGAUGAAACAAUUCAACACCUAUUUAUUGAUUGCCCUCUCGCGAAGUUACUUUGGAGGUCUGUCCAUAUACCCUUUAAUAUUACGCCUUCGGUUAGCAUUGACGCGUUGUUUGAGACGUGGCUAAAUGGAGUGCUUCCUCAUGUUGCGUCAAGUAUUCGGAUUGGAAUAUUCGCACUUAUUUAGGCUAUAUGGAACUGCAGGAAUGAUAUGAUUUUUAACGGAUCAUCUAUUGUUAACUUCUUGCAUGUUAUCUUCAGGGCUACGGCAUGGAUCCGUACGUGGUCGUUACUCACUCCUACGGGCUCCAGGGAGCAGCUGGUUACUGGGUGCAACCGGUGGGAGAUGGUAGCACGAGCUAUAUUCAACCGGUUUGGAUGGCGGUCGCAUAAUAGGAUAUGUCCUUAGUAUCGUUUCGUCCGGACGGUUGUGGCUUUGAGUUACUCUUGUUUUAUCUUUUUUCCUCCUUCUGUGAGCCGUACUUUGCGGACCAGACUAUUCUGUGAGCCGUAUUUUUCCUGAAAUCUUUGUUGAACUUAUUUUAAUAAAGUGGCCGUAUGCAUCUCUCCGAUGCAGAGGUCGGGGGAUGACCUCCUUUUCUAAAAGAGAAAAUAUCAAAGAGAGAGUUUUGCCGAGUCUGCCGUUGAUGGCAGCAAUUAUCAACCCAGGGUCAUGGAUGUACAGAUUAAUUUGACGGCCCUGGAUCUCAGUUCUCAUAAUCACACCUGCUCAGGAGCUCAUGCUAAAACUGAUAUAGCAAAGUAUGUUAUUCGAUUUGUGACAACAUACAACUUUGUUGUGCAUCAAAUCAAUUCAAAGUUGAGUUAAUAGAAUAGUGUAGUAUUGGGUGCCAAUCUUAUCAAGAAGACGCUCUCCACUUUCAAUGCUUGUAUGAGGAUUUUGACUGAACAUUUUCGUCAAUGAUAAAGAAAAAUGGAGACGUGAUGAGAAACAUAAUAUGAAUGGAUCUCAAAGGGCAGAAGUCAUUUCAAGAAAAAAUAACAAGGCUAGCAGGUAUGAUGGUUGCUAUAGGUGUGGUUGCAUGCCCACAUUGCAAGGAUAUGUGGAUAUGUACAUGCAUCAAUUGUCUAAGGGCAAAAGGCUCAUGAGAACUACUGUGAAGCUUACUUCACUUGACUUCAUUUUUUAUAUUUCCCAAUUGCAUAAAAUUCCCAAGGCAUUUCUCACAAUGUGGGAAGCCAUGUUCGGACUUAGCAAAACAAAGAUCCACUACUGAAUGUCGAUGACAUGUUAGUGGACUAUCUUUUGGAUUGUACUGUACAUACAUUAAAUCAGAUACACAUUGGGCGUGUUUUCUAGAAUCUUCAUAAGUUCAUGAUAUCGUAUGGUUGCCUAGGUCAUCCUGGUACUGGGAUGAUGAGAAAAUCAUUGAUGGUUCCAUUGGAUGCAAUCUAACUGUUGAUCAAUGGGUUUUGUAUGGGAAAUUGAUCACAAGGCCAUCUUAUCUCAAGAUAAAGGAUGAUCAAUUAGAUUUCCUUAGACAUGCGAUAUAUGUGAUCCAAAUCAAUCAUUAUAGACUAUUCAGAUAUUCCAUAGUGCCUUCUGAUGCAUCAGUGAGAUGUUCCAAUUUGUGUCUUACUUCUGUAGGAACCAUGCUUUUACAAAGUUGAUUGCUUAGAUCAUUAAUUGGACAGCAAAUCAUCACAAGCAUGGGAUAAAUCCAUCAUAAUGGAUAAACUCUGGAAUUUCAUGAUAAUUUGUUGAUUACUGCCUCUAUUUAGGCAUAAUUGUAUAGGUAUUGGUACUUUGUGUACACACCCAGAAUAGUCUUGCGGAAUCACUUAUCAAGAAGAUAAAGAUAACAAGAUAACUCAUGCAAAAUUGUAAUCUCCCAACAUCAAGUUGGGGAAAUGCACUUUUACAUGAUGCAUAGUUGAUACAAAUUCGAUCAUCUGCAUAUUGAUGGCUCGAGAAUUUGUGAUGUUUUAGCAGUGGUUUUUGCUUGGUUUCAUUGGAAUUCUUAUUACUCUUUGGAUAUUUCUAACGCUAAUCCCUCAAAAGAGAAAAAAAAUCCACUUUCUUUGGCAGGAAUUAUCAGCUAUGGAAGGAAACCAAGGAGGAUUGCUACAAAUCAAGUCAAAUGGAGCAACUUUCCUGAAGAAACCGAAGUCAACAGACGCACCAGAGUAAAAGAAGGCGUUCCAUACGACCGCAAGCGCUCGUAUGAGUGGUCCAUUGAGGAUUCAUGAAGGGUCCGAGGAUAAAAAGAGAACCCUAGCCGCCGCCACACCAUCCACAAGAGGAGAGGGAAGAAUCCAAGAGAAGGACCAUUGAGGAUCAUCUAGUACUUGGUUCUUUCAUCUCCGUCAUCACCAUCACCACUUUUCACUAUUGUAAGAGUAAUUCCAAUUGGGAGAACAAUUGUAACUUUACUCAAUCCCAUCUGGAGAUCAAGACUAUUUGAAUUAAUUAUGCAUUCCAUCUUAUUGUGGAUCUUCCCGGUAUUAUCGACAUGGGUUUCAUGGGUUUUAUCUUCAUUGUGAUUGAUUCCCCUCUUAUGAUGUGUGAGUAAUUCCCCUAGGUGUAGGAGAUGUAGGUAAGUGGUAAGAUUAAUGUGUGAAUAUUCUAUAUGUCAUCAUUUGCAUUCGUAGUAGUAUGAUCUAUCUAGUAUGUUGUUAUGUUGUGGUGAACCCUAUGCGUGUUGUCCAAUUUAAGAGCCCAGGCAACAUGGUCUCAAGACCUACACAGGUAGCACGUAUUGUUUAGGAAAUCUGUGACCUCUGACGUGACAGGUGGAGAUAUCUAUGAGGACCGAAGACAAUAUGAGAUAACGGUGAUCCACUGAACUUAAUGAUUGGUUCUAGUCUAAGGACCUUAAUUGUGGAAGCGACCACUCUGUGGCAAGGAGAAGCGGCGCCAAAGAAUGAAAUAUAAUCCCUCGCGGAGGGGUUUCAUAACCCUAGGGAGAACCGCCUAGAGAACACUUAUAUCAAAUGCUAUGAGUAUAAUACAAGGUAACUGGUAUUACCGUCACACUGGCACACUUUAUAAAUUCUUACCAUGAGCUGAAAUCUCUCUGCGCCUAAUCUCUUCAUUGCAGGAAACACAACCGUAGUUUUAUUCAUGUUAUCUACUUUUAUUAGUUCUUCUACUUGUUAUCUUUAUCUAGAAUUUUUCGGAAGCACUAGAUUGAGCACUUUUAGAAGUAUUCACAAAGACUUUCCGGAACAGUAGUUUCAGCACUUCCAGAAUAUUGGAUAUGUUCUUUGAUAAGAUAAAUAGUUUGAGCACAUAAUAACCUACAAGAAAAUGCAUGGGGUCAUCUCAAACAUAGUUUGAGCACUUUCUGAUUAUUUUGCAUAUGCAUUGAUAAUACUCUAAGCACUUUCACAAUUUUUUGAGAGCACUGUCAAAAAGUAGUUUGAGCACUUUCAAAAUUAUUCACAAAGACUUCUAAGAAUACUAGUUUGAGAACUUUCAGAAUGUUUUACACGUUCAUAGUACUUUGAGCACUUCACAAGCUAUGAGGGUUCAAAUUACGCAUGGGGUCAUAUGAGAAAUAGUUUGAGCACAUUCGAAAAGAGUUGGAAAGAAACAUAUUAUAGCCAUAUAGUACAUCGGGGGUCAAACUAGAUUUGGCUCGUCUUUUCUUCUAUUUUGCUUUCAAUUCUAAACAACGCAAUAAGUUUAAUGGGUGUUGGAUCGACAAUGUACGACCACUGCUUCGUGUGCCUCCUCGUCUAACUCGAAACACCAUACGCCACUAGAUCGAUGUUGGAUACUUCACCUGCCUUGAAACACCAGAUACCCUAGAUCGACGUUGGAGGGCGCCUACUUCAUCUGCCUCCUCGUCUGUUUUCGCCUCCUUGUUUGCCUCCUCGAACAACGGUUACCAAAUCCCCUCUAGUAAGUAACCAACACAUCUUAUUCCCCAUUCCUCUCUCUCAAACUUGCCCUCUCCCAAUCUCAGUCUCGCACUCGCUUUCUCCACAAGCCCGACGAACAGAUGGAGUUCUCGGUCUUAUGAGCACCGUUCAUCGAGGAAUACGACAUCAAAGCCCAUGACAUGUACACGAUCCACAUCUUGCACACUAACUUCCACAGCCGCGUUAACCGCUGGAUAUCACAAUGCAAGGUGUAUUUGCGAGGCCACGAAGAUAAUAUCGUCGACAUAGACGUUGAGUACACACCCAAUAGCCAGGGUGAAGAGAAGAAGACAACCCUGAUCCAGUUGUGCUGUGGUCAGAACUGUCUCCUGUACCAGGUAUGCAUGUCACAAGGGGUAAACAGAACUUAUCCGGUUCCUCCUUGAUGGAGGCUCCACAUUUGCUGCAUUUUGCAUCGAUAGUGAUAAACGCAAGUUGUCUUAUUGGGGCAUCAUUACAAACUUCAUCGACAUCUAGAAGGUAUAGAUUGUGCCCGACAAAGGCAAUCAUAAAUAUUUGCCUGCGGAUGUUGCGACAACAAUCAUUGAUUAGUAAUAUGUACCCUAAAGAGCGAUUUUGAUAAGAGCCUUCACCAAUGUUGGGCUAUGUCACUGUGCCGCACGCAAAUCGACUACAUAGCAAAGGACACAUAUCCAUGCUGCGAUAUAUGGAAGCGCAUUGUCAACAUUAAGAAAGGCUUAGUCCUAGCUCAGGACAAGGCCGAGUGGAGCACAAGUGUUGCAUAACGAAAGGAACAGUACGGGAGGAACAAUCACAGAUACUAAAGGUGGAGGAGCAGUAGGCCUCAGGAAAUGUAGAUAAUGUACUUUUUAAUGUAUUUUAAAGUUUGCUGAAGAUAUGUAUUACUAUUCUCAACAAGUGUGCUAUCUUCUUAUGGAAAUAAGUUAUGGGUCGGUCUUAUAUGUAAGUGGUACCUAUGAUUAGUAAUUUGUAAACUCAUUUUCCGCAACCCUGUAGCCUCGCCGAGGACGUGAUAGUCGUGCACAUCCCUAAGUUGUUCUACCACUCUUCCCAAGUCCUUUGUUACGAAGGAAUCGGACGAUCCGUAUUUCAUGCAAUUUCCAGAUAUUUAAUAAAGGACAUGCCACAAAAUAAGUAAACAAUUACUUAUUUUUGUAUAUAUUUUAAAAAAUGACCCUUCCAACAUUUUCGUAUAUGUCACCCAAAAUAAGAUGGAAUCAUCACCAAAGAUGUCAGGGGCAGCGGAGGGGGCAUCAACUUGUGAUGUCGCCAUCACAAAAAAUGAUCUACGUGACAGUUCAUUCUCCGUCACAAGGAUUUUCAUCACUAACAAUCGUGUGUUUUGUAGCGAACUAAUAUAACACCGUAGGAGUAUUUAAUUUCUAUAUCAACCGAUCUAUAUAUAUCAUGCACGCAUCUCCGCCCAGUGGUUUGUGCUUCCAAUCUUUCACACCGACCAAGGCCCGCUAAGCAUACGUCUCGAAGGGCGGCGCCGUUAUGGGAAGGACGCGACAUGGAGUGCCGUGUCGUGUGCUUGAUGACACAUCAACAUGUCGCCCACACCACGCCAGGUCAAAGGUUUUAUUGCCCGUGAUCAUCAUGGCUCUUUUGUGAGAGCGGGUUGCGCACGGUACAAGGGUGUCACCGACCCUUUGUCCAUUGAAGUCCUUGCUUGCAGAGAUGCGCUAGCUAUGGCGCAUGGGAUGGGACUCCAGCACGUUGUGAUUGAGACGGACUGUCAAGAGAUACAGUGUCUCUGGGAGGUAUCAUAGAAGUCGAGUGGAUUCCACCUUAUAAGAGAGAUGAAGUAGAUGAGUGUUCUGUUACAGGGAUUCAAGCUGUGGUUUUCAAGUAGCCUUACUAACUUGGUUGCUUACUGCUUAGCUAGGCAUACUUUACAUCAUUCUGUCAUUCAACAAUUGUAUGAAACAAUCCCUGGCUGGCUGACUGUUUAUCUACAGUCAGACAUGCUAGCGCCUAAUGAAUGAAGUGCCAAAGGGCGUUUAACUUUUAAAAAGGGAUAAGUAUAUUUUUCGUCCUCGAACUCUUCCGAGAGUUUAGAAAUCAUCCCUCAAGUCAAAACUGGAUAAUUUUCGUCACUCAACUAUCAAAACCGGAUAGUUUUCGUCCCUCACGCCGCUUCGGGCGGUUUUCGUCCGCCAUGAACAGUAAACCGACGAACAGUAAAUUCGAAAAAAUCUGAAAAUUUGUUGGAUCAACAUUCCUCGGGUGCGCAAGGUGUGUACAAAUUUUCAUAUUAUUUGGACAUUCCAGGUGCUCAUGACAAAGAAAAAAUUGUAAAUAUGUACGUCGAUGAACAGUAAAUUAAAAAAAUAGCAAAAAAAUAUGAAAUUUUUUGGCAUCAAAGGUGCUUGGGUGUGCAAGGUGCUUGCAUAUUUUCGUGCUGAAAUGACAUAGGAGGAGCUCUAGCAAAAAAAAAUAGUGCACUUUUUCAAAGUUUCUUUCCCAGCCAAUUUUUUUUCCACGAGCUCCCACAAUGUCCAAACACCAUAAAAUUUUGCAGGCACAUUGAGCACCCAAGCAUCUUGUAUGUCAACAAUUUCAUAUUUUUUUGAAUUUGUUUUCUAUUUUUUUGAAUUUACUAUUUACUGACGUACAUAUUUAUGGUUUUUCCUUUGUCACGAGCUCCUGGAAUGUCUAAAUAGCACCCAAAAAAUCCACGCACCUUGCGCACCCGAGGAACUUUGAUCCCACAAAUUUUCAGUUUUCUUUACUAUUUUGAUUUUUAUUAAAUUAUUGUUCAUCAGUUUACUGUUCAUGCGCGCGAACGCCCGAAGCGGCGUGAGGGACGAAAAUUAUCCGGUUUUGAUAGUUGAGGGACGAAAACUAUUCAGUUUUGAGUUGAGGGACGAUUUCUAAACUCUCGAAAGAGUUUGAGAACAAAAAAUAUACAUAUCCCUAAAAAAAAGACAAUGAGGCAGUGCUAGCCUUCGGAGUAGCCUAGUUGCACAGUGUCUUACGCUGGGUUGCACAGUGUACAUGGGAAGCAGUGGAAUAGGGCGAAAGCACUUUGUCGAACACCAUGAAAGCGGGCAUAGAGACGAGAAAUUUGCAGGUGCACAUGGGCGCACGUAAGCACUUCGUUGACCGCACAUCUGCGUCGCAAUUCCGAAACUUGUUCCGCACAUCCCACACCAACUUUCUGUUUGUACAAUGAAACUUAACAACUUAUGAAUAAAUCAACUAUAAUUACCUACGACGUAUGUUUUUGUACACAAAACUUUACGAACGUGUUUGGUUAUUUGCACUAGGCCCAGCCUGGUCGGCGCGGGAAGAAAGUGGCUAAUUUGGUAGCUUGUAUUUACUGUGUGGCCCGCAUGGCACGAACUUUAAAGCACACUUGGGUCUUGCUCGCUGGAAACGCUCGGAUCGGCAGUUGCUUAUCUUGUAGCCUUCUCUUUAAUUCUGUUCUUCCUAACAUCUUCCGAUCUACACAACGAUGCUUCGAUUCGAGGUAAGCUCUACACGAAAAAGAUGCACCUCAAUGCUACGGUUCCAUUCAGGUGAUCGGUUCGUAAUUUCGUAAUUUCGUCGGCCGUAAUUUCGUAAUUUCAUCUUUCCGUUUGAAGCUAUUCUAGACGAAUUGCCACAUUCGUCGCGCACGACCGAUCGUUUAAAAUUUCCUUUGACCAAAUCUCGCAGUUCCACACAACAUUCGUGUUGUAAAUUUUUGGUUUCGACGAUCGUAGCUUCAUCUCUUUUUGAACAGCAACCUACUACACUGCAGCCGUCAUGUCAAGCUCCUCUGUCCUCUACUCAGAGCCCUCCUAUUCGUCCCUCUCGAUGCCGACGCACUUCCCCUUGAUCUCCUUGCCCACGUCCUACUACACUAGAGUCGUUUCCGGUGUCGCUCAUCUCGGCCUACUCUCUGUCGUCCUCCUACUGCACUGACGUUGCAAUGGCGCGCACACUGCUUUCUUGUGUCCUCUGCCUCCGUGCACACUGCAGUUCGCCGCGCCACCGACGGGGUCGAUCAUCUUGCCUCCUCUCUCUCGCCCUACUACACUGGAGUCGUUUCCGGCGUCGAUCAUCUCGGCCUCAUCUCUCAUCCACUGCACUGAUGAUACCAUGGCGCCACGGCCACUAUCCACGGCAGUCGCCAUUGUCCGACGCACACUGCAUUUUUUCUUCCCCUCCCUCUGCUAGCUCUUAACCCUGUGUGCUAAGUGCAAGUGCUAGCUCUUAAUCAUACCUCAUGCAUGCAACCAAACACCAUGUUCAUGUGCCGCUUGGGUCAAUGUAGGCAACCAAACAAAAUGUACUUGUGUAUUACCUAAGACCCUAGAUGCAGGCAACCAAAUAAUUUACAGAUGAUGCAUUUGAGGCUGUUUUUGCCCCACCGGGAGUAGGACUCCUCCUUUCCUUGUGGGAGUAGGAGAAGGGAAGGGGGAAGGAGAAAGAAGGAAGGGGGCGCCCCCUUUCCCUAGUCCAAUUUGGACCAGAUCAUGGGGAGGGGCGCGGCCACCUUUUGAGGCCUUUCUCUCCUUUCCCGUAUGGCCCAUUAAGGCCCAAUACGAAUUCCCGUAACUCUCCGGUACUCUGAAAAAUACCCGAAUCACUCGGAACCUUUCCGAAGUCCGAAUAUAGUCGUCCAAUAUAUCGAUCUUUACGUCUCGGCCAUUUCAAGACUCCUCGUCAUGUCCCCGAUCUCAUCCGGGACUCCGAACUCCUUCGGUACAUCAAAACUCAAUAAAACUGUCAUCGUAACGUUAAGCGUGCGGACCCUACGGGUUCGAGAACUAUGUAGACAUGACCGAGACACGUCUCCGGUCAAUAACCAAUAGCGGGACCUGGAUGCCCAUAUUGGCUCCCACAUAUUCUACGAAGAUCUUUAUCGGUCAGACCGCAUAACAACAUACGUUGUUCCCUUUGUCACCGGUAUGUUACUUGCCCGAGAUUUGAUCGUCGGUAUCUCGAUACCUAGUUCAAUCUCGUUACCGGCAAGUCUCUUUACUCGUUCCGUAAUACACCAUCCCGCAACUAACUCAUUAGUCACAAUGCUUGCAAGGCUUAUAGUGAUGUGCAUUACCGAGUGGGCCCAGAGAUACCUCUCCGACAAUCGGAGUGACAAAUCCUAAUCUCGAAAUACGCCAACCCAACAAGUACCUUUGGAGACACCUGUAGAGCACCUUUAUAAUCACUCAUUUACGUUGUGACGUUUGGUAGCACACAAAGUGUUCCUCCGGUAAACGGGAGUUGCAUAAUCUCAUAGUCAUAGGAACAUGUAUAAGUCAUGAAGAAAGCAAUAGCAACAUACUAAACGAUCGAGUGCUAAGCUAACGGAAUGGGUCAAGUCAAUCACGUCAUUCUCCUAAUGAGGUGAUCUCGUUAAUCAAAUGACAACUCAUGUCUAUGGCUAGGAAACAUAACCAUCUUUGAUUAACGAGCUAGUCAAGUAGAGGCAUACUAGUGACACUUUGUUUGUCUAUGUAUUCACACAUGUAUUAUGUUUCCGGUUAAUACAAUUCUAGCAUGAAUAAUAAACAUUUAUCAUGAUAUAAGGAAAUAUAUAAUACUUUAUUAUUGCCUCUAGGGCAUAUUUCCUUCAGUUCUUCCUACAGAUGAAUUCAGAGAACUAAUCAUCCGGCCAAGAUGAGAAAGCAGCUCCAUACGCAGAAGCAACAGAAAGAAGCUUAUCGUUGAUCCUGCAUAAACGGUUAUCUGGCACCUGUGGCAUCAAGUUAACUGUGGCUAAAACAGUACGCAGGCAAAGAAGCUCGUUAGUAGCAGCGAUGGUCAGACGUGGUUGUAACGAAAGACGAAGAUCCUCCGCCGAAAGAACAAAUGCAACAGAUACAUUAGGUUUUGUAACAUGGGAGAAAAGACUUGGGAAGCGAGCAGCCAAGGUAUCGUUGCCGAUCCAUAGAUCCAACCAAAACGCGGUUGAGACACCGUUACCGAUCUUGACGUGGGUAAUAGAGCGGAAGAAAGGGAGACCAGACAGGAGGUCCUUCCAAACUAUUGUGUGUAGUCUAUGAGUGUCACCAAUGUAGUGCCCGCCUUCCCAGCCAUACGUGGAGGCCAGCCAAGAGUCCCAAGAGCCAAGACCGGGUUGGUGUAUUUUACUGAGGGAUUUUAGAAGCAGGCAAAUAUUAUGAGUACGAAGGCAUCUAAAGCCCAGGCCGCCCUUCUUAGUGGGGGCACAGACGUCUGCCCAAGCAACUUUGCAUUGACCCCCAUUCACGUGGUCAUCGCCAGCCCAAAAGAAAGCACGACACCGCUUGUCAAUCUCCUGAAUAGAACCAACAGGAAGCAGCAUAACGCUCAUAGCAUAGGUGGGAAGAGCUCGAAUUACAGAGUUGACAAGAACUGCCCUACCGGUCGCAGAGAGAAGGUGUCCUCGCCAACCAGCUAACCUUUUGUCAACCUUAGCAAUUAACGGGUGGAAAUCUAUUAGACGAAGUUUGUGGGUAGACAAAGGGAGACCAAGAUAGUUCUGCGGGAAAGUAGCGACCGAGCAACCCAACAUACUUGCCAUGCGAGCGGCCACAGAAGGGUCAACAUGGAUUGGAGCAAAAGUGCUUUUAGCAAAAUUAAUGUGGAGACCCGUGGCGAGGGAGAAAUUGAGCAGGAUAGAUUUUAGGGAGGCAAGGUUAUCUUCGUCUGCCUUUAUGAUAAUUAGAGUGUCAUCCGCGUAUUGAAGAACAGGACAUGGCGAGUUGGGAACAAUUGGGUGCUGCAGCAGCCCCUGAGCUGAGGCCUCUAGGAUCAUGCGUUGGAGGAUAUCGACAAUAAUGAUGAAGAGGUAAGGUGAAAUGGGGUCGCCUUGUCUGAGACCGUUUUUACAUUGAAUCCAGUUCCCGGGAACGCCGUUAAGAAGAAUAGCCGAUUGGCCAGUGUUGUUCAGCAUCAUAAUCCAACGAAUCCAAGAUUCCGAAAAGCCUUUGGCUUGAAGGAUACGAUAAGGACUCUCCCAAGAGACAGAGUCAAAGGCUUUCCUAAAAUCCAAUUUUAAGACUAAGGCCGGGCAUUUUCUUUUGUGGCAAGCUUGCACAAUAUCAGCUGCGAGAAUGAAGUUUUCCGAGAUACACCGUCCUUUGAUAAAGCCGGAUUGAUCCGCAUGGACAAGAUCACGAAUAACCGGUUGAACUCUAAUAGAAAGGCACUUGGAGCAGAGUUUGACCGAGCAGUUUUGAAGGGAAAUCGGAUGCAUCUGGUCAGGGUCAGUUGUGCCAGGUUUUUUGGGGAUGAGGAUAAUGUAAGCUUUGUUGAUACGCCUAAGAUCUGCAGAGCAGGAGUAGAAACUGUUGAGAAGGAAUAGAAGGUCGUUUUUAACUAGGUCCCAAUUGGCCUUGUAGAAAGCUGGCCCAAAACCGUCUGGUCCGGGACUAGCAUUAUCGUUCAUGUCGAAGAGAGCCGUUUUAAUCUCCUCGAGAGAGAAGGGGCGAGCCAAAUCGAGAGACUGAGAGGGUCUUAGACGAGAACCGGAUACUAGCUCGUUUAGAUUCGGAGGAAUAGAACAGGCUAUAGGGGUACCAAUGACAAGUUUAAAGUAGUCACGAAGAGCACGAUGCUUGCCGGAGUGGGAAGAGACCUCGCUACCAUCUAUGUUGAGGGAUUUAAUUUGGUUUUUACGCAGCCUGAUCGUAGAGCAAAGGUGGAAGUAGUCCGUGUCUCAUCACCGAGCACACAGUCCUUGAUUUUAGCCCGUUGCCGCCAGUAAACAGCAGCUAGGGCGUUGUGCCGGUGAAGGGACAGAGAAACCUGCGUGCGAAGAGAGCGUUCUAAGGAGGAGAGCGAGCGGAAUUCUUCUAUUUUGUCUAGGAAGGUGAUGACCGUGUGGCAGUUUUUAGUGAUCACAAGAGGAGAUCUAGCUUGCUUGGCCCAGGCCUUAGCAGCUGUGCGCACUCUCUUAAGUUUGAGACAUAAGUGGCCCAAGUGGGUAGAUGGGACAACACUAUUCCAAUUUGCAAAAUGAUGUUCAUGAAAGGUUGUAAGUGCAGAAGGCCGUUGUUGAACCGGAAGACUGAAGGCGUGGGAACUUUGGACGCAGCAAUGAUAACAAGCGGCACAUGAUCAGAAGUUGACCGGCAAGCGGGCGUGAGUGUGGAGUCCGGGAGGAGGAAUUUCCAAGCUGUGUUGACAAAAGCCCUAUCCAAGUGCACCAAAGUCGGGGAGUCUUGUUGGUUAGACCAAGUAAAUAGCCUAUCGAGAAGGGGAAGCUCCUGAAGAUUAAGACGGUUUAAGGUAGACGAGAAGAGCAAGGCUUCGGAAUGGUUAAAGUUGUCAUUCGAGCGCACGUUGGGCUUUAGAGUAAAGUUGAAAUCGCCUAAAAGAGCCCAGGGGCCGGUUACAGAGGAGCCUAAGAGAAGAAGUUCGUCAACAAAUGCUUGCUUCUCAAAGCUGACGCAAGGACCAUAAAUGUUAGAGAUCGAGAAAUCAUCGUUGCUAGCUCUGGCCGAGAAGUGUAAGGUUAAGGAGAACUUAAGAGCAGUGACAGAAGUGCAGGAGUAGUCUUGAUCGUUCCAAGCUGUUAGGAUUCCUCUAGCAGAACCAUUUGAAGGCAAGAAAUGGAAUGAUUUCAACCUAGUGGGUAAGAAGGAGCUGGCUUUGAAAGUAGAGAUAUCAUCAAGCUUUGUUUCUUGCAAGCAAAUAAAAGAGGGGUCGAGGCCGAAGAGAGCAGCUUUGACGUCAGUACAUUUUUUGUUUCUACCGAGACCACGAACAUUCCAAGAGAUGAAACGAGUUUUACAAUUCAUGAAAACCAUAAAGGGCAACGAAAACAUAACGAAACAUGGCCGGACAGGGCCACCUACAAACAGAUACAUGGAGCAAGUCUAGGCCAAGUACAGCCAGGUUGAGACCCACAGCUGCAACUAGACGUGAAAGUAGCAAAGGAAAGAGGCUGCGACCAAGCUCAGAAGAGCUAAGACCUAUGGUCGGAGCAAAGCUAGGACUAAAACGGGAUACAGACGACAGACUGAUACAAGCCGAAGCGCGACGGCAGAGAAGGACCGCGAGGGGAUCCGGGGCUGACAGUUGAAAACGCAACAUUAGACACAUGCGCUGUCAUCAAGGAGAGCCGAGGCGGGCACGUCACAGGCAGCGGCAAGCUCCAGCACGUCCUGCCGAGGGAGGGGUGAGGAGACCUCGGGCGCCAUGUCGAUGAGCUGAACUGGGAGGAGCGCCUUUCCACCAGCAGAAUGCCCUCGGGCUUAUAUAUAUUCAGAAUAUCAAUCGGCUACGAGAUCAAUUAGGUUUGGCUUAUGUUUUUCUUUUUACAGUUUUGCUAAAGCACAUCUAGAUGUACUAUAAGUAUUGCACAUCUAAGUCCUAUGUUAUUGAUCUUAUGUUAAGAUUCGUGUAGAUAUUUCUUUUCUUUCUCUUUCUCUCUAUACUUAAUUCACUCACUUAGAUGUGCAAUAACUAGAGCACAUCUAAAUGUGCCCUAGACACACCCUAUUUUUUAAAGCUCCGCUCUCCGGCUUAUUCAUUCAGCGGUAACCUAUCUGAGUGCAAACUGCAGCCCAGAAAACCAGGGAUUACAUCGAAGCUGCUAAUGCUUGCUAGCAGGGUUUAUGGCAUGUUCCAAACAUGCAUGACUUGCUGAUGGGGCAUGACUUGCUGAUGGGGCAUGACUACGUGUCUAGGAAGAUUAGGCGGAUUUCAAAUAUUUAGAAAUCAAGAAAUCAAAUAGAUUUAGAAUUUGAACAUAAAAAUUACGUGCCACAAGUUAAUACAAUGAGAUUCACUUGGAAUGUACUAGUACAUGAUGGAUGUCAGAGAACUAGAGAUGUUCUUAGUGUAUAGAUCAAACAUCCAUUGAACCGGCCAUAACCUCUUUCCAUUACUUUCAUAACGGAAAUACAAUAGUUUGUCAAACUGGAAGGAAACCAGAAAGGGGGAAUGCGAGUUCAACGCAUCACUGAAAAAUUUAUGAUAAACACUCGUCAUCAAGCAGCCUACCAUGGGGCGAAAACCUAGUGACACCCUCAGAACCAGUAUCAACAACCAAAAGGAACCAAAGUCUAAGACACAUCAGCCACAAGAGGCCCAGACGCAUGCUCACGCAAGAUCAAACAUCCAUGGUUAUGUUGAUAUGUUGAGAUAGUAAAUCGAAUGGUUGCACUACCUCUGUCCUAAAAUAUAAGAGUUUUACUUUGUCACACAAAUGAAUAUAUCUAGAUAUAUUCUUAAUUCUAGAUACAUCAAUUUCUAUUUUUUGCGACAAGUAAUUAAGGACAGAUAUUGAUGGAGGGAGUACUCAUUAGUGAGGUUUCGUGCAUGCUCGUGACGUGGCAGCCUGACUUGCUGAUGUGGUCGGGCUGCGGGAAUAGGAAAAUAUAUACUAUAAUGGGUCCCAAGUCGAAAAAUACGAAGGAGAACCUGGGUACCAGCGCACCCUAUAUGCAAAACAAAUUUAGUAAUUCAAAAAAUUCCAAACCUUUUUUGGUAUCAAACAUGAUCAAGUAUUGUAGUCGUACAAAAAGAUUCUUCGGCCCUCGCAAAAAAAAAAAAGAUUCGUCGGAGAAUGACUUUUGUUGCACCCAGGGUCGAAGAUUUGGCAAAAAAAACGCUAUAUACAAGUACUAUACACGCUAUAUUGUCGUCAUAAACUUGUCUUUUUUACCCUAAAAUCAAUCGGAAUCAUUUCUUGUCCAAACUUUUUAUACGAGUACAAUGCCUGAUCAUCUUUGAUUCCAAACAAGAUUUGGAUUUUUUUGGAAUUAAUAACUUUUUUGCGCAUAUAGGGUGCCCGGGUACCCGAGAACACCAGUUCCCGUCAGUCCCAAGUCCCAACUAUUUACUCGCAAAAAAAUAUUUAGAAAAUAGUUAAACAUUUGCCCACUAAUAUUUUUUCUAUACGGUUGCAUUUCUGCAUGCGCAGCUUCUCAAUCUCUCGAUCUUGUCGGCAACCUCCAUCAUUGUCGGCCUCUCCUCACCGGUCAAGCUCAGGCACCGUAUAACCAGCUCCGCGGCGUCGUCUAUCACCUCGUCCCCGAGCUUCUCCCUGACACUUCCGUCCAUGAUCUCCCGGUGUCGUCCCCCCUGCACAGCCGUGACGAAGGAGAAUGCGAGGCUGGUGUCAUCCUCCUCGGGGCCGUCCGGGCAGAACGCCUUCCUCCCGGUGAGGAGCUCCAGCAGCACCACCGCGAAGCUGUACACGUCGCUCUUGCAGGUGAGCUGGCACGUGAGCAGAUACUCCGGGUCGAGGUACCCGCAGGUUCCCUGGACAAGCGUGGCCACCUGGGCCUCAUCGACGGGCGCCAGCCUUGACGCGCCGAAGUCGGAGACCUUGGCGGUGAGCUCGCCGUCGAGCAGGAUGUUUGCGGACUUGACGUCGCCGUGCAGGAUCGGGGGCGAGGCGGACGAGUGCAUGUACGCGAGCGCGUGCGCCGACUCAACGGCGACGCGCAGGCGCUCCCCCGGCGGCAUGGGCGCCUGGCCCUUGCCGUCGCCGUGGAUGUAGCGGUGGAGGCUGCCGUUGGGGACGUACUCGUAGACGAGCAUGGGCACCUCGACCUCGAGGCAGCAUCCGAGCAGCUUCACGACGUUCCUGUGGUUGAUCUGCGAGAGGAUCAGCAUCUCCUUGGAGAACUCCUUGAGCUGCUUCUCAUCGGCCACCCUGGACCUCUUGAUGGCAACGGUGGUGGAGCCGCCGGCGCCGGGGAGGACGCCCCUGUAGACCACGCCGUUGCCUCCUCGGCCGAGGACCUGCGCCUCGUCGAAGUUGCCGGUGGCCUUCUUGAUUUCCUCCUCGGAAAAGAUCUUGAAUGCGACGCCGGAGCUGGCCAGUGAACCCAGGUGCUGCUGCAGGAGGAGCCCACCGUUCUGCUCGAAGAACCUCUGCUUCGCUCUGAGCAUCCUCCUCUUCUGAAGACUCAGGUGUGCCCAGAAGCACGCCAGGAUCACCAUGAACACUCCUAUGCUUACACCUGAACAAAUUGUUCAUAAUUGGUACAAACUGUUUUAUUAGUAGUACACAUGUACAAUUGCAAGUGCCCAUGAAUUUCUGUCAAAUUCGUGUUUUUAAACGAAACUUAACGACUCAAGCAUGUUGUACCUGUGACGGCCUUCAGCGCUAAUGUGAAUUUGUCUUGUUGGUGGCAACCAUCCUGCACGGUAGCGUUUCCACUCCAUCCCUUGGGGCAUGUGCAGAGGUAGCUGCCUGGCGUGUUGGUACACACACCGUAGCACGGGUACAAAUCAUGUUCCGCGCAUUCGUCCACAUCUUCCGUUUGAGUCAGUUUGACAAAAUUCGUCAGUUCGACAAAAAAAUCGGGAGAGGAUCAUAAGCCACCGAUGAGCAAGUGCUGAUCGACGAGAAAAGAAUUUUGGGAACAGAGUAUACGAGUAGUACCGUUGCAGCCGCCGAGGACAUAGGGGUUCCCCUCGUAGCCGCUGGUGCAGUUGCAGACGUACCCCGGACCGUUGCUCGAGUCCAGGCACACGCUGUGCGCGCUCCGGCACGCGUAGGCGGUCGCGUUCUCCCGCACGGUGGCGCAGGAACCUCCGGCGCCGGCGCCUCUGAUGGCCCAGUCCAGCACGACGGGCACGGCGAAGUCGCCCGUCCUGUUGAAGUGCGAGCCGGCGUACCAGAACCACCAGGCGUCCACCAUGAACGCGUAGGCGCAGCCCGUGGAGUUGGCCAGGAACGUCCCUCCCUGCUGCUGCUGGCGCCGGCCGAAGCUGCGGACGUGCGGGCGGUAGGAGGCCAGCCCCAGCGGGAUGUUGCUCUGGCAGCAGCCGUCGCCGCCCCGGCACGACCCGGGCAGCGCGCGCUCCGACGGCCGGCACACCGACAUGCACCCGGUCACGUAGUACCCUCCGUCGUCCACGAAGUAGGCCAGGUCCGGGCAGCCGAUGGCCACGAACUUGCUCUUCAUGGACGAGAAGAGGAAGGCGCUGCCGUUGAGGGCCAUGGGGUACUCCCGCCGGCCAAGCACGCGGCCGGAGCCGGAGGUGCGGUCGUAGCAGGCGCGGCUGGCGUUGAGCAGCACGGUCGCCUCGGCAGAGGCGAGCGAGAUGGCGACCACCUCGUGGCCAUAGCCGGCCACGGUCAGCCGCGGUGGGUGGCGCGUGUCGUCGCACUCGAGCCGGAAUCCACGGUCCUCGGCACGGUGGCAGCGCGCUCCGAUUCCGAAGGGGUAGGGGACGGUCACGUUGCCGCACUGCCGCCGGCACCCCGGCGGCUGCUGCGCUGCUGCGGGUGGAAGCAGCGGCGCUGCCAGCAGCAGCAGAACGGCAAACAUUGCCAUUCUUGCUGCAGUCAAAGCUUAGCGGCGGCUGCCUGGAUGGACCGCCUUUGGUGUAUGAGCAGAGCACCUGGAUUUGAUUGGUGAUCGACGGAAGAUGUCAAGAAAAGAAACGCAGAGACCAGAGAGCGGCAAUGGAAGGACGACACGUCCUUACCAGCAGCUUCGUUGACGGGGAGACAUCGAACCAUUAUUCGCCCGGAGCUGUCUAUCUGACAUGACAUAACUUUUUUUUGUUGAGAAAUAUCUGACAUGAUAUAACUUCUUAACUUAACGCACUGCGUGUGGAAAUGGUCAAUAGGCGCUGCGGGCCGAAUAAAUACGAGUAAAAUUGAUCAAUAGUACUUCAACUUCAACUUGAGCUUGUGUCUUAUUCCUUUGGUCGCUCGAUUUUAACUUACCCUAAAUACUACUCCCUUCGUCCUAAAAUUCUUGUCUUAGAUUUAUCUAGAUACGGAACUUGUCUUAGAUUUGUCUAGAUACGGAUCCGUAUCUAGACAAGAAUUUUGGGACGGAGGAAGUACUAUUACAGAGGUUUUUAUUCUUGCUGGUAUAGAGGGGGUUUAAGUUGUUCACUAUAGUCACCCCGCUCGUUUGUCUACAGUAUUCUGCUAACUUGGCAUAAAGUGGAAUAUUUUAAUCGCUAUACAUGGGCGACACUUCUUGGCUGGACAGCGUGGACCGAAUGGCAUAAAACCCAUUACCCCCUUCGCACACUAACCGUUCCACUCCUACCUAUGUCCUUUGCCAUUUUGUUCGGGGAGGUGUCGAAACAUGAGGCGAUCAAGUUGGAGCAGCUCGUCUUGCUCCAAUGACAGUGAGAUGAGCUUGUCUUCCAACGUCGAUGCGCCCUCAUAUGCGUCGUUUGGGAGAAGGCUUGGUGAUGUGCCACUUGCUCCAAAAUGUCGGAGGGAGGGACCUUCAUCACCGCUUUAUGAUAUGAUUCCAAAGACCCCUCUUUUACACGAUUUCCUGGCGGCGGGAGGGAAACAUUGGCUCAAGGUUAGGGUUUUCGCCGCCUUAUCUAUUAUGCCACAAAUGAUGUGCUCGAGGUGAGGGCUAUGCAGGACAACAAAUUGGGGAUUCGGUGGGCUUAAGGUUUCAAACUCAUGGAUUUUGGGCAUGUGAAAUGUAUUGACUCAUCAUGGACAUUAAUUUGGGGGAAAUCUGAGUUUUUGGAUUUAGGGUUUCGGAAAUUGUGGGUUUGUUGAUUUGAGAAAAUUGGGGUAUUGAUUAAAAGCCAGUGGGCUAAGGAAAAUGAUGUUUUUGUAUACAUAAACACACAUGAGCAUGUUUGCGUUAUAUCAUUAUGCUUUUGGGACAUUGGCAUUUACACUUGUUGGGGAAAUAGGCAUGCUUUCGAUACUACUCCCUCCGGCCCAUAAUAUAAGAAUGUUUUACAAGUUGAUUUAGCUUGCAAAAUGUUUUUAUAUUAUGGGACGGAGGGAGUAAUGUUUUUGUGGAAAUGCAAAAGGGUUAUAAAUGAUCUAUUGUUGUAGGGAAAAAAAUGCAAUAAUCACUUCUCAAUCGAGAUGAAUCAUGGUGGUUAUUUUGCUGGAACUAGCAACCAUGGAGAAUAUUGCAGCCGACACUCAAUCCGGUAUGAUUAGUAUGACAUGGAUAAUUGGACACCCAGUGUGAUUGAGAGUUUGGUUGGGUAGAUUGAGUAUGAAUACGAGGGGAGAAUAAGAGAGGACAGGUGUGCCCUGGGUAUGAUAAUGUACACGAAUGGUCUUAGAGAGAUUAAGAGAGGGGAUGAUACAAUAAUAGAGAGCAUGAUGCCAUGUGUUACAAAUGGUAAUUAUUUUAAGCAAUUGUUUCUUGAUCACAAUGACAACACCAUCUCCUACAUUUCACUUGUGGUUGUUCACGAUGAUGGUGACCCACGCCUCGUCGAAGUUGCGGGUGGCCUUCUUGGGCCCAGUUCUUUUCAGCUUUUAAUUCUCCAGAAUCAGAUUCUUGGGCCCAGUUCUUUUUCGAGAUUGUUGUCUCAGAAUGUGCGAUGAGUUGUGCUGAAAUUUAUAUAAUGUACCUGAACUAAAAAUGUGUGCUGAAUUGCUAACACUUAGUUGUUUCAAACAGUCUCUCGUCAAAUAUGAACACAAAAAUGAUUUACGAAUAUCAUAGUGGUAAAUAUUACAAUUAGAAUGGUUAUAAAGUUUGGUUCGUUACAAAAGGGGCCAACUACAAAUAGAAGGAAUAAUUCAAGGUACAAGAUUGCUAGUAAUAGCCUCACGUGUGCGGUCAUGGUACCGUCAUCUUUUGGUAGUAGAGAGUUGGCAUGGUAAUGGAGGUUGCACAUACGCAUCAUUGUCAAACUUGUCAAAAUGCUCAUCGUGUAACUUGGUAUGACGAAUCCAAUUGUGGAGACACAUGCAUGGAGUGACAAUCAUCUUUUGGGUCUCUGGUUUGUACCGUGGCAUGCCUCCGAGAAUUCUCCAUUUCAUCUUGGGAACACCAAAUGAUCAUUAGAUGACAUGUUGCACAGAUGAAUGGCAAUGGUUGAGUGUCUCAUGUCUCCCCAUCGUUGGGUGUUGUUUUAACUCCGGUACAUGGUAUCAUUGCCCUUUGUUUCCUUUCUUCUUUUAUUUUUCCUUUUUUGAUUCUUUUUUUAAAUCAUUUUUCUCUUCUUCCUUAUUCGAUAAUUUUGUUCUAAUUCAUGACCUAUUUUCUAAAAUUGAUGAACCUUUUCCUUUUUUUUAUGAACUUUUUGAAAAUCAAUGAACUUUUUUCAUUUUCUGAUGAACUUUUUUGAAGAUCGACGAUUUUUACAUUCGACGAAUGUUUUCAAAUUUGUUGAACUUUUUUAAGAAAUCAAAGAAUUUCCUACAAAUUAAAUGAACUUUUUUCAAAAUUUAUGAACUUUUUUGUCCAAAUUUGUGAACUAUUUUUAAAAAUUGAUGAACUUUUUUCAAUUACACAAACUUUUUAAAAAGUCUUUGAACAAUUUUUAUUUUAAGAAACAUGCCACAGUUUUUUCAUCAGUGAUCAAGCAAUUGAACCUAAUUUUCAAAUAGAUCAAAAAAUAUCUAAAGACUAUACCAUGUGGUAGUGUUUUCUUGUUUUUAAGCAUAUGUCUCACUUCCAAGGUCUUUCCCCAGCUACACCAGAUAACUUGUAAGCAUGAGCUAUUUAAAUUUUUUUUGCAACAUUUUUUUUCAUCGAAACAGUCCAGUCGCUGAAGAAGUUUAACGACACGAAACAGACAGUUCGGCUAAUGGGCUUCGCGAAUAAAGCCCACUUGAUCCUCUAGCGAGCCCAGAUCGAAGAUUCGGUGCUGAAGGAGCCGAAUAGGGCCUCUCCCGUGUCCGUCUCCACUGAAGCGGUAGCGGGGAGCGCAGAGGAGACACCGUUGCGAUGUUGGCUGUCCGGUGCGGCGGCAGCGGCGGCGGCGGCUGCGGUGGCGCCUACCUGACGGCUCAGAGGACAACGGCUGCUCGGAGCGGAGCCUUCAACGGCCGCAGCGCCCUUCUUGCUGCGGGAACUGGGGCCAGGGAGCUGAGCCUUAGGGUUUCCCUCUCGCCCAACUCCCACCCCCACCGCGUCGGCGCUUCAUGCCCGUGGCCAGUGGUAAGAUCUUCUUCCGGGUUCCCAAACUCCAUUGUUCAUUCGGGUGCAUAAGCUCUAAGGCACUGCCUCUGCAGCGUUGCUCCCCCUGUCCUUCUCCUGAUUUGGAGGUGCCGCGCGUCAGUAAGAAGAAUACCAGGAACGAGGAAUGGGAGGCGUUGAAGACGGAGUUCGGACGCAUGUUCCGGCCGCAGCUUCGCAAUCUAGGGGAACUCUUUUCGCUCCGCCGUGUCUACGACAUUGAGGAUUAUCAGCUGGGCAUCCUGUUUGGUUCGUUUGAUUUCAAUUGCUCUGGUGUAUGUUCAUUGUUUUGACUUGCUGUCUGCCGAACCCAUCGCAUUGUAGUGAUUAUGUUUAGUUGCAGGUGCAUUUCUUGGAUGCGUUGGCUGUUACCAACUGUGGAAGACGGCGCCUUCCAUAUUUGUUGAUGCCAUGCUCGCAUUCAUCUUCUACAAGCUCAGUGUUGUGUCCUCGGAGCUACAUAGAAGCCACAAGUCCAACAGCCUGAUUACGCGGCUGAAAUUCGGUAUUUCUUUAUUUUUUAAAUUGGUUUUCAGUUAUACUAGUUUGUAGCCAUAUUAUUGGACAUUCAUUGGAUCUCCUUCUCAUUGUAGGUACCAUACUUAUCAUGGUUUGGAAGGACAUCAAGAAAAACUAUGUCCUCCUGGAUGUUAUUAGGUCAGUAUGUAUUGUCUAACUAUUAAAUCAUUUAGUAGUCAGGUACGGCAGUUUCGUCCCAAAUCAUCACUUGCAUUUUUGGAACAACAGAUAUCAUUCUUCUAACAUUGAAUUACAAACUCUAGAAUGGCAACUUACCCUCUAGUUUGUACAUCACAUAAUUCUGUUUUUUAUGCAUCUUUUUUCAUUAACAUUUUAGAGCUUUGAUAACUUGUCAAGCUGAUAUACCAACAGUACAACAUCAUAGGAGUUAUGUUUCAGGACCUAUAGGUCCACCAUACAGCGGUAGCUAAUGCUUUUUGGUGUCCACAAGCACCUUGUGUUGGAAAUGCGAUUUUUAGGGAAACAUUAUAGCCCUAGAAAAUAAUAUGUGUAAGGGGACUAGAACAAUAUAUAUCCAUGAUGUUGAAUUCAUAUACAAAGUGGAAACAGUAAGGCUUACAUACUAGCGCCCUGUUCGGUAUCCCUCCGCUCCACAACUCCGGGAGCAGAGUUGGCGGAGCUGCUGUUCAAAUCGAAGGAGUUGUGGUUUCCCUGCUCCACAGAUUCUGGGAGCGGGUGAUUACCGAACAGGCCCUAGAUGAGUGAUGGAUGAGAAAGAUGUAGAUACAAUUUUUCUUGCCCUUAUUGGAUUUCGUUGUCUGCAUGUCCGCUGCCCCAGUUAAACUUUGCUUCUUGAGAAGGGCAAAGGUAUUCAGACUGCAUAUGAGUCACACACAUUAAUCAACACAUGAGGUGUGGGCAGUUAGCCUAGCAUAAAUGGCCUGCAACAAGAUAGUACAAUGUUUUCACAGCCACAUGAACCCUGAUAACUCAGCUUCAUGUCCAGUAUGUCAGGAAAUCUUUAAUCGCCACAUUCUCUCCCCCCUUGAGAAUGCAGUUCAUAAUUCUGUUUGUCCAAGAAGGCAUGAUGUAUUGUUAAACUGCAUUCCUCUCAUUGCACUGCAUGCAAAGAGUACAAAUGUGCAAACCACAAACUGUCUAAUGCUUCCUUUCAACGUGUCAUGCCAUCUCAUUCAGUCAUUGAGUUGCCAUUCACCAUGGUUGGUCUAAAUCGUAUGUGCCUCUGCUGGAAAUUUUGCCAAGCUUACUUUGUGGCCUAAUAUUGGAGCUUUAACUUGAACAUAUGAUAUACUUAGUGUUUGUUAGCGGUGCCAUGGUCUUGAUAAGUACAAUCCUCCCAACAGAGGAUAGCACUCUUUCUGUUCUAUCUGUCAAUUUUCUUAUGUAUCUUAUCUACUAGAUAUAUACAUGUUUGUAAUCAGAUUUCAGUAGUCUGCCAAGUCUUGGUUAAACUCUGUGUAGAACAUGCAUUCCCGAGCCAUACUUCAUGUAAGCAUCUAAAUUUUGUAUCUGCUGUAUCAAUAUGAUAUAGAGUGGAGUUGGCUCUGACCUUUGUCAGUUAGAUGAAACAAUACAAUUAUCUUUCUCAUGCAUUUCUUUUGGAUAUGGCUCAUUCAAUCAGUAACUGAAUAUAGUUUCAUGACAUAGGAUGCCGGUUCUCCUCCUCUACAUUUGUGCAUUCCUGUUCGAUGUUGCUGGCGUGAAGAAAUAUGGAAGGCAAGGCUUGGUCUAUUUUGUUAAUCUGUUGAAAACCAGAGGUGGGCUUCAAGAGAUAUACAGGAUUAUGUGGUUGCCUGGCUAUGUCUCUCCCUAUGACGAUUCUAAGAACUAGUUAUGAGGCUCAGGUUCUUGAUGGGCAUGCAUGAGAAUGGGACUGCAUCCCCUUGGGUAUUUUCUGGAUGGGCAUGUAUCGGGUCAAACUCCUAGAGGUUUGCAAGGAAUUUUGUUUAGUUCAAGGGGUUCAGUGUAGUAGCGCCUCAUCCGAACAAGCCCUUUGUUGGGGCGUAGAAUAUGGGAGCCCCAGUCUGUAAUAUAUGUGCGUAUAAGUUCUCAUCUGUACAAGCCACCUCUUAGAUGAAUAUCUACAUAGUUUCUCCUUCUCUUAUAAAUCCAGUAUCAAACUUAUCUUAGAUACAAAUUUGCCCCUUUUUCCUAUAAAUCUUACUGAAAUUCUGUAGUGGUUAUUAUACAUACAUCUACCAGCUG
rnacentral:lncRNA from 1 species